rnacentral:lncRNA from 1 species
UCAACCUAUUUAUUCACCCUCAAAUCUUUCUACAUUAUUUCUGGUGAGAAUAUGAGUUUCAAUUAAAUUAGUCAAAGAGAGAGCAGAGUUUGAGACUGAUAAAAAGCAAAACGAACAAGAGAAUUGUUGGGGCUCAUAAAUGUUCUAGAAGAGAAGCCUCCUAAACUGGCAGCGUCUUGCGUUGGGAUUUUUGAAAAUCAUUCAGGAUAAGGUCGAGCUGUGAGCAAGCCGAAACGGCAGAGGCCAACGCAAUGCCAACUCCGCUCUUCUUUAUUAACCCACUGCAUUGCUACUACAAUUCAAUGCAACGUCAUUCCUUUGAACUGAUUUGCGGUUCCUCUCUCUCUCUCUCCCUUUUUAUCUUUUGGAUUUGGUUCAAAUUUUGUCUGAUUAUUUCUUUCAGCAUCUUCAGAGGAUAAAAGGCUGAAUGCCUACGGCACUAUAAUUCCAACAACACAAUCAAUAAGCAUUCUAAAAGAUGGGCGUUUGCAUAUGAGGUGGCUUGACAUCUUGCUUUUCUUUUGUUUAAUGUGAAUAGGGUUGGUAUUUAUUGGUACACAUAUAUGCGUUUAAAAAUUAAAUUUAUUAUUUAUUUAUUAAAUAAAUAAAUUACUAUAUCAAUUAUUGAUUAUAUAUAUUAUACUUUAAUAAGUAUUUUAUUUAUUUAUGAUAUAUAUUUUAUUAGGUUGAAAUAUUGUCGUUUGGUACUUGGGGAAAAAAUCCAUUUAGGAGCCGAAUUUCUAACUCAAUCAGAAUAAAACAGAUCAAUUCAGGAACAACUAGAGAAAUGGGUUGGCAAACACUAAUCUUCUUAUGUACGAGUAAAAUCAAACCAGAUCAAUUAUCUGUUAAAUGAAAUACGAUUUGAAUAAAACGGUUUAAUUUAAUUGGUCAUAAAUGUUUGGUUUAAUUGAUUUUUUAUUGGUUCUCAGUUUUAAAAUUUUUAGACCAAUCCACUCAAAAAAUCAAACUAAUUUUUAAUAUAUAUUAAUAUAUAUAAUAUUUUUAAUAUAUAUUAAGAAGAAUUGAUAGUAAAUUUAAUUAACAAUAUACUUAAAAUAUAUAAUUUAUUAUAUGCAUGUAAACAAAUCAUAAUCAUAACAAUUUAAUUUUAAUUAUAUAUAUUUAUUUAUUAAUAAAUCUGUAUUAAUAUAAAAUUACAAGUUAUAUAUUUUAAACGAUAUAAUAUAUAUGUUAAUUUUAUAAAAUAUGAUAGUAAAUAUCUUACAUAUUAAUAUGUUAUAAUUAUUACAUAUUAGUAAUGUUUCAUAUAAAAUGUUAUGAAUAUAUAUAUAUAUAUAAUUGUAUAAAUUUAUAUAUAUUUAAUUUAUAUAUCAGCAUUACUAUAACUUAUAAUAAACUUUAUUUAUAUGAUUACACUUAAUAACUUUAUUAAUUAUUACUUUAGUUUUUAUAAUAUAUUAUUUAUAAUUAAUAAUUAUUUAUACAAAUUUUGAUAUAAAACAUUAUAAUAUAUAAAUUGUGUCAUUAAUUUCAUAUGUACAUAAUAAAAUAAUAUAUUAUCUAUAUACAUAUAUUUAAUUUAAAUAUAAGUAUUAUUGUAACUUAUAAUAGACUUUAUUUAUAUGAUUACACUCAAUGGUUUUAGUAGUUAUUGUCUUAAUUUUUAUAACAUAUUGUUUAUUAUUAGUUAUUAUUUAUACAAUAUUUGAUAUAAAAAUUAAAAUAUUAUAACAUAUAAGUUAUGUCAUUAAUUUUGUAUAUAUAAUAAAGUAAUAUAUAUUAUAUAUACAUAUAUUUAAUUUAGAAGAACUUGUAAGAAAUAACUCCCUUUAUAAGCCCAAUUCAAAAAUAUCCUUCAUUAUAAUUUUAAUUAUUUUUAAUCAAUUUUUAGCAUGACUUGACAAGAAUGCCCUUUAAACAAUUUCAAACAAAUUAAAAUGGUUUCGAUUUUCUCUAUUCAGUCAUCCUAAUAAAAAUUUCAAAAUUAAAUCUUGAUUUCUCUCUCUUGCCAAAUACUGUCUAUCUCGUCAUCCUAAAAAGUAAAAACGAUAUCAAUGUAUGUGUUUUAGGUUCUCUGAUUUAUUGGUUCCCUAAAGUUGAGGGGUUGAAAUUAAUUAGACAUAUCUGUAAUAGAACAUUGUAUGACUUUGGUAACUUAAACCUAACUGCGAGUAAGUAAAUCAAUUAGUUAUUAGGUAUUGCAUUACCGGUUUUUAGGUAUUGCAUGACUGGUGUUUAGGCAUUGCAUGACAGGUUUUACGUAUUGCGUGACUGAUUUUUAAAUAAUAUCUACGUCACAAUGCCUAAAAACUAGUCAUGUAAGGCCUUUCUAACCAGUCACAUAAUGCCUAUCAACUAGCAGUCACGUAAUGUCAUACCAACUAAUUAUGUAAUAUCUAAAAAUCAGUUACGCAAUAUCUAAAACUUAGUAAUGUAAUGUCUAAAAACUAGUUAUGCAAUGCCUAAAAACUACUAAAAUUAUUUAAUUCUAUCUAACCAAAACAACAAUUUCAAACAAUACACUAUAUUUCAUUUAACAACAUAAUCAACAAAUAUACUUACUUGGUAAAGAAUGCUCAAAAUGCUCAAAAAUUUUUCUUCAUGUAUAAAAAUCACUGCAAAAUGCUUAAAAAUGCUCAAAGAACAAAAGUUUUUUUACGUGUAUCAAAAACUACUCCAUAAUAUUUAAAAUGCUUAAAGGUUUUUCUUUUUGGGAAAGAAUUCUCCAGAGAUGAAUGGUCUGGCGAAAAAACUCAAAGAAUAAGAAUCGGUUUGAGAUGCAAACCUAAACAUAUGGGUCAGUUUUACUAAGGUUAAUUUUAUUCAAAAUUAAUUUUUCUUGGCUAAAAACAGUUAAGAUUAUAAAAAAAAGGCUAUUUUCAAAAACAUUUUAUGUAUGAGGAGUAUUUUUUAAAAGAACCUUAUAAUUUAUACUCAAUUUGUAUAUUUUGUAAUUAUGGAUGAAAUUUAUAAAUUUUAAUAUUAUAAUUUAUAAAAAAAAAAUUAUAAAAUUUUAAUUCAUUAAUCCAAAAUCAAUCCGACUAAAUCAAUGGUAUAUUUGAUGGAUUUGAUUUUUUUAUGUUUGGUUAGUUUUAAUCAAUUUUUUUAAAAUAUUUGAUCUAUUUAAUUUUUUAGUACGACGGAUCAUAGCACCAGCCUACCUAUUUACUCACUUUUAAUACUUUCUACAUAAUUUCUGGUGAGAAUAUGAGUUUCAAUUAAAUUAGUCAAAGAGAGAGCAGAGUUUGAGAUUGAUGAAAAGCAAAACGAACAAGAGAAUCAUUGGGGCUCAUAAAUGUUCUAGAAUAGAGGCCUCCUAAACUUGAAGCGUCUUGCGUUGGGAUUUUGAAAAUCAAUCAGGAUAAGGUCGAGCUGGGAGCAAGCCGAAACGGCAGAGGCCAACGCAAUGCCAACUCCGCUCUUCUUUAUUAUCCCUUUGCAUUGCUACUACAAUUCAAUGCAACGUCAUUCCUUUGAACUGAUUUGCGGUUCCUCUCUCUCUCUCUCCCUUUUUAUCUUUUGGAUUUGGUUCAAAUUUUGUCUGAUUAUUUCUUUCAGCAUCUUCAGAGGAUAAAAGGCUGAAUGCCUACGGCACUAUAAUUCCAACAACACAAUCAAUAAGCAUUCUAAAAGAUGGGCGUUUGCAUAUGAGGUGGCUUGACAUCUUGCUUUUCUUUUGUUUAAUGUGAAUAGGGUUGGUAUAUAUUGGUACACAUAUAUGCGUUUAAAAAUUAAAUUUAUUAUUUAUUUAUUCAAUAAAUAAAUAACUAUAUCAAUUAUUGAUUAUAUAUAUUAUACUUUAAUAAGUAUUUUAUUUAUUUAUGAUAUAUAUUUAUAUAUAUAUAUAUAUAUAAAAUAUGAUCAUAAAUUAUUUAGUAACAUUACCAAAAAAACUAUACUAACAUUAUAAUAUAAUCCUAAGGAUUCACGCAUAUUUUUCUUGUGGAUUUUAUAUAUAAGUCUUGUUAGACUAUAUAUUGAGUCUAAUACAACAGAGCUAGGAUUUCAAGUUUGAGGGGAUAAAAAUAAAAAAUUCAAUUUUUGAGAGAGUAAAAUUAUAAAAUUUUUAAAAAGUCAAGGGUAAAAUUAUAAAUAUUUAAAAUAAAACAAGGAAAAAUUGAUAAAAUUUUGAAAUUUCGGGGCCCUCCCUCCGCCUCUGGAGUCUAAUAGAUCUAUACAGGAGAGGAUUGUUGAUUUGUUGCUCAUUAAAAUUAAUGAGUAAAAGUUUUUCAAAAACAAAAUGCCUUGAAAAACAAACAAGCAUAAAUCCCUCUAGAGACGAAACACUUGAAUCUCUUUUGAAGUACUCGCAUCUUGAUCUAAAAUUUAAUUUCUUUUGGAGUUGAGGGAUUUGAAUUGUUUUUAAGGUAUGUGUAUAUUGAUCUAUAAUUUUCUUGUGGAAGAUUUUUUAUUUUUAUAUUAUAUAACAAUUGUUGUUAUUGAAUCAAAAAAUAAAAUUCCACAUUCACGAUAGAGAGAAUCUAACUUAUAUAUUGUAAUCCCAAUUUCUAAUUAUAUUGCAUUGUAAAUUACCAAACGUCACCUAAGCGUCCACACCUCUACCUUUUAUUUCCCUUCUUGUUACGAUAGCAUCCACCUACAUGAUUAAUGAUUAAUGCUUAGUAAUUAGUGAUGUUUGGGCAUUAAGUUGAUUUAUCUCCUUUUUCCUCUACUUUUAAAUAAUGGUAAUUUCAAAACGAAUUUUGAAUAAUCCAAUUGCAUCUACCCAUAAAAGGAAAUAUAAUGGUGUAUAGUAUUUUCUUUCUUUUUCUUUUUUUUUUUUUGGUUUUUUGAAAGAGCACUUACCUAACUUGUUGGUAGUAAUGUGAUUGCAGAGAAGAUAACAUUACAGUGUUUAGUAAAUAAGUAAAGUAAUAAUUAAAAUGCAUAGAAGAUAAUAUUGCAGUAUUUGGUUUAUAGGUACUUUGUUGGAAAUAUGAUGUUAAUUUUUAGAAUUAUCCCUAUUUAUUAAAGUACAAGUUUAAUAUACUUGUAUUUUUUAUUAUUAAUUUUUAUAUAAUAUCAUCUCUUAAAUAUAUUUUUAAUGUCAUAUAUUUUAUUUUUAUUUCUUAUUAUUCUCUUAUAUAUUUUAUUUUUGUUUCUUAAUAUAAUUUUUUUAUAUUAUAUAUUUUAUUUUAAUUUCUUUUCUCUUUAAAAGAUAAUAUAAAUUUUAUUAAUAAUUACCAUGACUAUUGAGAAUAAUAAAAAGAUAUCCCUUGAAAUUUAUAUAUAAAAAACAAAUUAUAACAUUAUAAAAUAUUUUUAACAAAUUAAUAAAGUUGAAAGAUAAAAAUGUUUUAAAACAAUUGCAGAGUGUAAUGCAAUCUGAUUGCAUUGGUUUUGGAUUGCAAUUACAUUACAUUUAUUGACUGUAAUGUGAUUGCAUUACAAUCUUACAUUAUAGGGAUUUAUUGCAAAACAAACACUGUAAUAUAAUUUAAUUGAAUACAUUACCGAAAAUGUACUCUCACUUCCCUUAUACUAAAUAAUAUCCUAAAGUCAAACUAUUCUUAUACCAAACAUUAUCCUAAAACUAAAUAAUCCUUAUCUCGUAAAUUUCAUUAAUAUGUGAUGGGAAAAAGAUUAAAUGAAAGAAAAAUGAAAAAUUAAUUACAUUCAAAGUGUCCACACCUCUACCUUUUAUUUCCCUUCUUGUUACGAUAGCAUCCACCUACGUGAUUAAUGAUUAAUGCUUAGUAAUUAGUGAUGUUUGGGCAUUAAGUUGAUUUAUCUCCUUUUUCCUCUACUUUUAAAUAAUGGUAAUUUUCAAAAUGAAUUUUGAAUAAUCCAAUUGCAUCUACCCAUAAAAGGAAAUAUAGUGGUAUAUAGUAUUUUCUUUUUUUUUUUUUGGUUUUUUUGAAAAAGCACUUACCUAGCUUAUUGGUAGUAAUGUGAUUGCAGAGAAGAUAACAUUACAGUAUUUAGUAAAUAAGUAAAGUAAUGAUUAAAAUGCAUAGAAGAUAAUAUUGCAGCAUUUGGUUUAUAGGUACUUUGCUGGGAAUAUGAUGUUAAUUUUUAGAAUUAUCCCUAUUUAUUAUAAUACAAGUUUAAUAUACUUGUAUUUUUUUAUUAUUAAUUUUUAUAUAAUAUCAUCUCUUAAAUAUAUUUUUAAUGUCAUAUAUUUUAUUUUUAUUUCUUAUUAUAAUCUUAUAUAUUUUAUUUUCAUUUCUUAAUAUAAUUUUUUUAUAUUAUAUAUUUUAUUUUAAUUUCUUUUCUCUUUAAAAGAUAAUAUAAAUUUUAUUAACAAUUAUCAUGACUACUGAGAAUAAUAAAAAGAUAUCCCUUGAAAUUUAUAUAUAAAAAACAAAUUAUAACAUUAUAAAAUAUUUUUAACAAAUUAAUAAAGUUGAAAGAUAAAAAUGUUUUUAAAACCAUUGCAAAGUAUAAUGCAAUCUGAUUGUAUUAGUUUUGGACUACAAUCACAUUACAUUUAUUGAUUGUAAUGUGAUUACAUUACAAUCUUACAUUAUAGUAAUUUGUUGCAAAACAACCACUGUAAUAUAAUUUAAUUGAAUACAUUACCGAAAAUGUACUCUCACUUCCCUUAUACUAAAUAAUAUCCUAAAGUCAAACUAUUCUUAUACCAAACAUUAUCCUAAAGUUAAAUUAUCCGUAUCCCGUAAAAUUCAUUAAUAUGUGAUGGGAAAAAGAUUAAAUGAAAGAAAAAUGAAAAAUUAAUUACAUUAAAAAAAUCCUAAAAAGAAACAAUGGAGUCAAGUAAAAAUAAAAAAUAAGCAAAUACCUUUAGGACACAUGUGAUGGAAACCACAAACUAAUAAAUUUCUUUUUUGACAUAGAUCCAUAAUUUUAAGCUAAAUUUACAAAAAAAAAUCAGCAUUUUGGUUCUCUUCUCUCAAUUUAUGACGAAUUUCUUUGAUCCAUCCUUGCUGAAUUAAAUAGAUGAAUUUGUAUUCGGUAAUAUUAGCUACCUAUAAAACAUCUAUAACUUAUAUAAUUUAAAAAUUUAAAAUUAAUUCUAUAUUUAUUCACGUUUUUAUUCUCAUAAGCUGUUAUGUAGAAAGUUAUGAUUUUUAUAACAUAUUUAAAAAAAAGCUUGAGGGUUAUAGAGUUAACCUCGUAGAGGGCAGAGAGAAGGAAAGAGAAAAGAUGUUGAAGCAAAGAGAGAGAAAGAGAGGGGUGUAAAGGGGUCAGAGUAAACCACGUGAAGGGCAAAUAGAGAGAAAGAUAAAACAUGUUGAAGCAAAAGAGAGGGGAUGCAAAAGAGGACCGUGUGUUGCACACGGGUAAUAUUCUAGUUAUUAUAAAAUUUAAAUGUUUAUUACAACAUGUUAGUUAGACACGUGUUCUUACCUUUACCAAACCGAAAAUGCAUGUAAAAUUAACAGUCAAAAGUCAAAACCGUUCUUGAAUCCAAUCAAACCGCGAGUACAUUAAUAUACAAGAACCACUCGCGUGUUUCUGCUUCCACCCUUCGCGCGUUAUUAAGAUGUAAACGCAGCCCCAAGCAAAAAAUUCUUCAACGAUCAUCUUUGUAUUCAUAUUAUUCUUCUUCAAUUUUCUCUGCAAAUCCCAAAACAGAAAGAAAAAAAAAACGAAGAAGAACACCCAAGUUUUUCAAUGGAUAGAGCUUUCCAAAGAACCAAAAUCCUAACCAAUCACCUCCUCCAAUCCUCUCCUUCUUCGCCCGCCCAAAUCCCUUCUCUUUCUUCAAACGCAUGCUUAGACUACUCUCCGCCCGAACUUUCCGAAGGUUACGCAUUUGACAUCAAGGAGAUGCGGCAGCUCCUCGACGGGCACCACGUGGCUGACCGCGAUUGGCUAUUCGGGAUGAUGAUGCAGAGCAAAUUGUUCAACCCGAGAGUGAGGGGAGGGAAGGUGUUCGUGUCGCCGGACUAUAACCAGUCGAUGGAGCAGCAGCGGGAGAUGACGUGGAAGCGCAUCGUGUAUUUGUUGGAGAGAGGAGUUUUUAAAGGGUGGUUAACGGAGAAAGGAGAAGAGGCUGAGAUGAGGAAGUUUGCUUACUUUGAAGCCUUGGGUCUCUUCGAUCAUUCCAUUGCGAUUAAGCUCGGAGUUCACUUCUUCUUGUGGUGCGUUAUACGCUUUUCUUUUCUUUUUAAAAGUGUUGGAUUUUGGUUGUGUUGUUUUAUUUUGCUUUUGAAAAUGUACAAUUUCACAUUUUGGUUGAGUAUUUGUGAUGGGUUUGGAUGGAAAUGGAGAUAGGUAUUUAAUUACACGCAAACAAAUGCAACUCUGCAGAGUUAUAGACUCCCUUUGAUGGCUAUUUUUGCUAAUUACUUUUUGCUUUUGGACGCAAAGAAAAUACAUUUAGAUACAAUAGAAAACACUUAACAGUUUUAAACGUUCAAAAUUUGAUUUUUUUUUAGUAAUAAAAUGCAUUAUUUUACUUUCUGUGGAGUAAUUUUAGUUGAAAAUAUGUUAUCCUUAAUCUUUUUUUAAUCAAAUAUGAAUUUGCUUUUUAGCAACCUCUAGAAAGUAAUGAGUACUGAGCAGUACGUAUCAAACCAACAAUCCAAUGUCUUGUCAUAUUGAAGUUCAAAAUCCAGUUGGACCAAGGGCUGUUUGUUGCCUUACACUUCAUUUAAGUUCUUAAUUACUUGUUGUAGACAUGCCCUUUUAGCCAACGUGUUUGAAGUAGAACAGAAGAAAUUUGAAACUCAGUGCUAUACUGUCAUAAAUGUUUGCAGGGGUGGUGCCAUCCAAUUUUUCGGUACAAAGCACCACCAUGACAAGUGGCUGAGGGACACUGAAAAUUAUUUGAUCAAGGGUUGCUUUGCAAUGACUGAGUUGGGGCAUGGAAGUAAUGUAUGUAAAGGUUGUCAAGUCCUUUAGUAAUGAGGAUCAAGCCUUUGUGUGAUUUUUUAUGUAGUUUUCUGCUCUUUUUCCUGAUUUAUUCUGGGUUAUUGUUUUUAGGUUCGUGGCAUUGAAACAGUAACCACAUAUGAUUCAAACACAGGGGAGUUUGUCAUUAAUACUCCUUGUGAAUCAGCUCAGAAGUAUUGGAUUGGUGGGGCAGCCAACGUAAGAACUUGUCUUAAAACCAAACGCUAUCUCUCCUUUCACCAUCUUUUUAGAUUCCUUUGCACAUGUGAAUAUUCAUUUAGCUGUUUUUAUGAUCCAUCCCUCAGUUUUGCCUAUAUGCUGACAUGCUAUGCUCCUACUGUUGCUUUGUUGCCUAGCAUGCAACACAUACAAUUGUGUUUUCACAGCUAAAUAUCAAUGGAACCAAUCAAGGUGUUCAUGCAUUUAUAGCCCAAAUCAGGGAUGCUGUUGGUAAUGUAUGCCCAAACAUUCGCAUUGCUGAUUGUGGUCAUAAAAUUGGUUUAAAUGGUGUUGAUAACGGUCGAAUCUGGUAAUUUUAUACCUACACUUAUACCAUGAAUUCUAUAAUCUUUUUGUUUUCUUAAAAAAAAAAAAAUUCUGAUCUAGAGGCUUGUGUAUGUGAUUUCAGGUUUGACAAUGUUAGAGUGCCCAGAGAGAACUUGUUAAAUUCAGUUGCUGAUGUGUCAGCUGAUGGAAAAUAUCUAAGUUCAAUAAAAGAUCCAGAUCAGGUACUCCUAUUUGAGACGACUGGUAUCUGCUUCUAGAGCCAUGUAUUGUCCCAUAACAGGAUCCUUGUUUAUCUGGUAACAAUGUAUUGGUGGCACUUACAUGUCUGUUGCUUUAAUUCAGAGGUUUGCUGCAUUCCUGGCCCCGUUGACAGCAGGUCGUGUUAAUAUUGCAGUUAGUGCAGUUUACCAAUCAAAGGUAUCAUGGUAUCUUUUUUUUCAAGCAUCGUCCCUUCUAUUGGCAGAUGAAGGUGGCAUAUUUUUGUAAUUUGGGGUGUGGGGUGGCAGGCCACUAAUACCAAAUGGAAAGGUUGCUGAUAUCAUGUCAAUGCUCUCCUUUCAGGUUGGCUUAGCAAUUGCCAUUAGGUAUGCAUUAACAAGGCGGGCUUUUUCUGUCAAACCAAAUGAACCUGAGGUCUUAUUGCUUGAUUACCCAAGUCAUCAACGACGACUUGUGCCUCUCCUUGCAAAGACGUUAGUAUAUUUACAGUUUAUCUUAUGAAAUAUGUGUCAUCCUGAAGAUCUUAUGGAGUUCAGUUUGUGUUUCGCACUUCUAAUUACAAUGCUUGUAGCUUGACUCACCAUGAAGAUGUUUUUCUUCCCUGCCUUGGUAGAUUAUAUAAGUCAUUCUUUUCUAUGCAUAUAUAGAGAAACCGUAUGUUUCCCCAGCAUUUGCUCAUUUUAAUAUCCUGCAGGAGUAGCGCAGUGGGGUUGUGUUUUUUUUUUUUAAUUUCUUUCUGGUUCAGGCUGAUAUUGAUGCACUUUGAGUGUAGCGUUAGUGGUUUAGAACUUUAGAUGAUCAAGACAGGGUUAUUUAUUUGGCUGCUAACAACAUAUAAGGGGUGAAAUUAAUAUUUUAUAUGGUUCUCUAGGGUGCGGAUUUUAUUUGUAUUUGGAUAACCAUCUCUUCUUGUUGGCAUAUUUUAUGAAUAAACAUCCCAAGAUUAGAUCUUGGAUACAAACACCUGAUCCUUGUAUGUGGAGUGUCAACUAAGUUAAUUAUAAGAACUUAGCAUAUACUUUAAUUGCUAAUUUAUUCGAAGUUAUAGCUAGGGAGGUUUGGUCUUGGAUUUUAAUGUUGGCAUAAAGUUGAUGAAGACACAUAUUUCAAUUCAAUUAUUUUGUGAUGGGACCUAUAAUAAUUUAGUUAGAGCUGCUGCUUUUGAUUAAUGCUCCUUUGUGUGUGUGUAUUUGCUUUCAUAUGCUGCAGCUAUGCUAUGAGUUUUGCAGCAAAUUACUUGAAAAUGUUGUAUGUGAAGAGGACACCUCAGUCAAACAAAACCAUUCAUGUAGUUUCAAGUUCAUUCAAGGCUGUUUUUACAUGGAAUAACAUGCAAAUACUUCAGGUGAGCAACAAAUAAUUGUGGAUUUAGUUGAAUAUAUUCACAGUAAGUGUCAUUACAGAGGUUCAAUUGUUGAAUACUUCAGGAAUGUCGUGAAGCUUGUGGAGGACAAGGAUUAAAGACUGAGAAUCGUGUUGGUCAUCUUAAAGGUGAACAUGAUGUGCAAUCCACUUUUGAGGGGGACAAUAAUAUUUUGAUGCAGCAGGUAACUUGUUUAUCUUGUUUCCUGACAAAUUUUCUUUGACAAGGACAACUGGUUACAGCUUACAACUAAUGUAAAUUGUCUGAGAACAUGACCUCAAAGAAAAAGGAAAGCAUUCAGAUGCAGAAUUGGGAAAUGAGUCCUGUUUAUGUGUUUCGGGAUUUUUUAUUUUUAAAAGAAUCAAGAUGAUUAUCUGCCUCCUUGGCCAUGGCCAACAAGUUGUGUAGGUUAAUCUUAAUUGUCUUCCUGGAUUUUGUGUUCAUAACAUACUAAGGAAUGGUUAACCAUAAUUUCUUCAUGUUAUCUGCCAAGGUCUAACUUAACAGUUUAUUGCUUAUUUUCUUGGCAUAUAUUUAUAAAUAUUAAAAAAGUAUUAUACUCUAUGUUUAUUAAUUAAGAACUCUGUUUAAAACAGUGAAACUUAUGGAUUAAACAUGUUUUAACUCAGGUCAGCAAGGCUCUUUUUGCUGAAUAUGUUGCAGCUCAGAAGAAAAACAAGGCUUUCAAGGGUCUGGGCUUAGAACACAUGAAUAAACCCUGUCCUGUCAUUCCAUCACAGCUUACUAGUGCUACCCUCAGAUGCAGCCAAUUCCAGGUAAAAUAAGAUUAACAUCAACUUUGCUACUCUUAACAUUCCAUAUAAAAUUAUAUGGGCAUCUCUGACUGUUGUCCUAUGUCAGAUGGAUGCCUUGUGCUUAAGGGAGAGAGAUCUUUUGAAAUGUUUUGUCCUGGAUGUCUCACAACAUCAAGCCAAGGGAGAAAGUAAAGAGCAUGCUUUCAUUAUGGUGAGGAAGCACUUGUUUUAUCUAUAUGGAUAUCCUUUUCUCCACCUUUUAGUCUAAUUGUUGAAUCACUUUUCCUAACCAGAGUUAUCAGCUAGCAGAGGAUUUGAGCAGAGCUUUCUCAGAUCGAGCAAUAUUCCAAAAGUUUGUUGAGGCAGAAGCAACUCUAGCUGCCGGUUCGUUGAAGGUGAAUUAGUUAGUGUUUCUCAUAUGAGCAUCUAGCAGUAGCAUCCACUUGAUAUUCAGUCUAAUCUAGAAGUGGUGAAAGUGAACCUGAUCUAAAUUAACUUGGCCAGCCCUAACAAAACCCUGUCCAAGCUAAUCAAAAUUGAAAAGUCAAUGGCUUGAGCUUGAAAUGACCAAAGCUACUAGAACCUGAUUUUUAUCUACGGUAUCAUAAAAGUGGCUAAUCUGAUCUAAAUGUACAACCUGUCUCACUCGACCUAACUUGACUUGAAAAGUUAACUAUAACCUGGUUUAACCCAAACCUGAAACAAGUCAAACCUCACCUGCGCUGGCCAAUUACCAUUUCUAGUUUAGUGAACCUGCCCCUCACAGCAAAGUUACAGGAUACUGUGGGAUGAAUAUGACCAAAAAAUGAGAUAAAUAGAACAAAUUGCUAUCAUAUUUGUGAGUCGCAGAUGGGUGAAAUUCUCUGCUAUUUGCAGAUGGAAGUGAUCUAUAUAUUCAAGAAACUAUGCACGUUUGUCAAUAUAACCUUGAAAGCAUGCUUCAGGUGUUACAAGAUAUUUGCAGCUCUUUGUGUAUUAGCCAGGUUGUUUAGUCUUCACUUUCUUCUGCUGCAGGAUGUCCUAGGUAUGUUGAGAUCAUUGUAUGCCUUAAUUUGUAUUGAAGAUGUUGCAUUUCUCCGAUAUGGGUACCUGUCAGUGGACAAUGCUGCUGCUGUGAGGAGAGAAAUAACAAAAGUCUGCAGUGAACUUCGACCACAUGCGCUUGCUUUAGUCAGUUCCUUUGGCAUUCCUGAUGCUUUUCUGAGCCCUGUAGCUUUCAACUGGAUUGAUGCAAAUUCUUGGUCUUCGGUUCAGCACUGAUAGGAUGUUACACUUGCUUCUAUUAAAUUUUACUUAAACCAGAAGGCCUACUCAUUGCUAGCCACUCUUUUUAAGUCUUUUUAAUAAGAGAGCCUUCAUUGUUAUAGCGAGAGAAACCGUCUGUAAACUGUUUAUUAUAUUAAUAAAUUUAAUAAAUUUUAAAAAAAAAAUGCAUAGAAAAGAGUAAGUAGCAAUGUUGAUCUUGUGCUUCGCCCGAGGGAAUAUUAUCAUAAGAAGCAACUCUCUUGCUUUCAUCGUGUUUAUAUUGGCGAUCUAGUUGGAUGAGGUUUAUAGUAGUUAAGACUCGUGCUAACGUGAAAGGGAACAAAUCAGCAGUGUGCUUUCUUCAUCCUGCUCCUUGGUGUUGGGUAACUUGCUGGGCUGUUGUGGGUUGGGCUCUCACCUCCAUUUCUUUCUUCUUUCUUUUCUUGGGUUUAAUUUUCGGUCUUCUUUCUUUUUCUUGAGUGACUCGGAUCCGAAGAAGACAGAAAGGAUCGACUGUCCAGAAAGCCCCUACGUCCACUAACAACGGUUUUAAUCUUUAUUCUAUAUCUAUUUCUCUUUUUCUUUAUUCUUACAUACGGUUACGUCCCUCUUUGAAUCAAAGCAUCCAACAGCUUGUGUCUGAUCUCUGAUGACUGGUGAAGCUUAAAUUUAUCAUCCAGAAACUCCCACGAGAAGAACAAAAGAAAGAAGAGGGGGAGAUGAGAUGAUUCUACCAGUAGUAAAGCUAGGAACCCUUGCACUAAAAACCGUUUGCAAACCCAUUGCUAAUCGUCUCAAGAAAGAGGCUGGUUUACAUCCCAGGUUCCGCCAAUUUAUCAUCAACAUUGCCCAGGUACUCCUUUUCUUUUUCUUUCCUGUAAUCAAAACUGAGCUUUUGUUAUUAUUGUUUUUUAACCGGUUUCCAGUAUGCUGAUUCUGGGUUGUGUCUUUUUUUUUUUUUGGCGGCUUUGCUAUUGGCUAGUUGUAUGAACUCUGAUUAACGUCCCCCAACCCUCCAGUUAUGGUUUUGAUCUAAUAUUAACACUGUGUUAAGUUUCUGUGUUAUAAUUAGUAGCAUGCCUCUUAUCUCCCUAAUUGCUUGCCAGUUAAAUUUAAACAUUUUUAAGUAUGCAUUUUUUAAAUUGUUAGGGGUUAUGUUGCUCCGUAAUUGAACUUUUAACAUCUGAUUAGCAUCUAUUUAAAUAUAUGGAAUCUUCAGCUCCUGUUCGUAGCUUGACAGGCUGAUAAUUAGUACAAUUCAGCCAUUAAUGUUCAGUUUCUACCUUUGGUGAGAUGUUGGUAUGCAUUCUAUAGACAGAGUUUCUUGCCUAUAGUUUAAAGGUGCUUCUUGUUGGCUUUCUUCCCUGAGUGGGAAGGACUGCUUAUGCGUGUCUCCAUGCACAUGCUCUCAUUGUAUGUUCUUUUUGUUUCUGCGCAGCGCCUUGUAUGUUCUACUCUGCCUAUACUCACUCAGACUUAUAGUAACAUGUUUUAUAAAAUGAUUGAAAUGUUCUGAACUUUCUUCUCUAUCAUCUACGAACUUGUUAGUUAGUUCAAUUUUAUUUGUUUUUUUCCCAAUCCCAAAAGGAGCAAGAAGCCUUUUAUUACCCACAUUUGCAGAAUAUAAAACCAAAUUUUUUCAAAAAAGAAAAGAAAAAAUGUUUCUUUUUUAUUUUAAAUUUGUAUGAUUUUGUUUUUGAUACUGAAUCAGGCAAAUCAUCAAUUCACGACAAAAAUGCAAAGACGUAUUUAUGGUCAUGCAACUGAUGUUGCAAUACGCCCUUUGAAUGAGGAAAAAGCAGUCCAGGCUGCUGCAGAUCUUCUAGGGGAGCUCUUUGUAUUCACGGUACUUUUCCUGUUCCAAUUUCUUGUUCUUGAUCUUGAUAUUUGUUCAAGUGUACUCGGGUCUGUAACUACAUUUAUUCCUCUGUAUAGUUUGUGUUAAUGUCUUUCUGCGUAAAAGUCAGUAUUAAAUAACACAGGCUCUAGACCUUUCAUAUUUAAAAAAAGGUUGAUGUUAUUUCUCAUUCGCUGGUUUAGGCUUCUGUUUGCGUAAUGUUCUGAUGUCAAAAAUGCAUGCCAAAGUCGAAGAGGUUGGUCGGUGUGGUACUGGAACCAGACUACAUAUGAACUGCAUUCUCCAGUUUCAGUAGAUUAUUUGGGUACAGCGUCAUAAAAUUAUUGGCAAUAUACUUCGAAGUAUUUAAUGAUGCAUUUUGAAAACUUUAGCAAUUUUCUCUUUGAAGUGAUAUUAUGAACCCUCUGUAAAUACAUACCAGCAACUCCUCCCCUAUGAUCAUCCCGCUAUGGUAGAAAAUUCUAGUCUGGUUAAUUUUAAAAAAAAAAAAAGAGAGAAAGAAAAGUCUAGUCUGGUUACUCUUAACAAUUGCACUGAAUGCUUGUAGAUAAGACCUUAACUUGAUUGAGUAUCAUCAAAAAGGCAGAUGACUGUUAGGUUGCUCUCACAUUUUAUCCAGUUAAUGUUCAUGUACAGUGACUUUCCACUGGCAAAUGUUCUAAGAAGAUUGCAUUUAAAGUUAGACAGUUCAGGCAGAAAGAUGCCAAUGGCUUGUAGGGUGAAUAGAAACAACGGGACAUAUACAUUCAACUCAAGUCUGUUUACUGAUGAAUUUUACUCUCAUGCAAAGCAUAAGGGUGAAGCCUCUUUCAAUGACAACUUUUCUCUUACAAAGCUCAUUGUAGUAAGAUUUCUGAUACUGUUUGAAAUAAUCCUUAUUCUUUCUCUCUUUAGGUUGCUGGAGCUGCUGUUAUUUUUGAGGUGCAAAGAAGCUCCAGAUCAGAAGCAAGAAAAGAGGAGCAGCGCAAACAAGAACUGGAGGUAUUUCUUUCUCUCUGAUUGAGGUUACUGCUGUAAUAAAUCUUUCUCUCUCAUAUGGUGUUUUGUUUUAUUGUUUACUGUAAGUACAUUGUAUCGAUUGGUAAUGACUAAAUCUUUCAACAAGGUCUUAUCAAGUUUGGAGUUAAUCAACUUUUAUUACUGAACAUUGGUGGUUUCAGUCUUGUAAUGAUGAGUUUUGAAGCGAUUUAAGUUUUAUCGACGAACUAUUUUUAAAGUUGUGUUCAUGCAACGAUGCAUGUUGCCAUCAUAGUGAGGCAAAUGCAUACUCUUGUUUAUUAAUGGUUAGUCCUUUAUCUACUGUCUAGGCGAUGAAACAAAGAGAUGAAGAUUUAGCACAAGAAGUUGAGCUACUUAAACACAAAAUUGAAGAGCUAGAACAACUGGCCAGAGGACGAGGACUUACUGGUUUAUUCAACUUCAGGCAUGCGCAUGGCGCUGAAGAUGGAAAAGCACAACCGUCUUGAUUAUCACAGAAAUCAAGCUCAGCCCAAAGCUUUGAUGUGAAAACAAAUUUACUUGAGUUUAUUUACAACAGUGGUCGAAGUGGGUGAAUUUUGGUUUCAUUGUUCCUACAAUUUGUGUACAAAAGCUUGGGAUAAGUCACGUGGCAAGAUACCCAACUGUACAAGCUGUCCACAGAAGUCCUUCGAGCUCCAAUAAAACAAUAAAAAAAAAGAAAAGCUUCACAUAGUAUCCAUUUAUCUGAUAUGAUACACUGGGCUUGGUCGUAAUUGGAGUUUUGAAAAUUCUUCAGCUUCUGCUGAAUUUAGCUUGAUUUGACCAUCUGGGAAUUGGAAAAAGUCCCAUUCAGUUCAAACCUGUAUUGGUUAAACGGUUGCCUAAAGCUCCCUGUGAAACAUCAAGGCUGGAUGUUGGAUGGUACUGCUUUUGUGAUUUUAUUAUGAAGCCAACAAAUGAUACAAGGAUCAAAGGAUUAUUAUCCAAUAUCCUUAAAAACCCCAAAGAUGAGUUCAUAUUAAUUUAACAAUUUAAUGUUAGAUUUUCUUUAUUUUAUAAUUUGUAAAUUUUCCUGUUAAUAUAAAUAAGAUAGUAAAUUCAUGAUUAGAAACAUGUAAAUUGACUCUAGCAAUAAAUCAUGUAAUUGUUUGUUGCACCACUCUAGCAGCAUGGCGAAUUUCACUGUUUCCUUCUCUUUAAGACAGAAGUUCCCAACGUGAUCCUGAGGGUAAAAGUUUGAAGUUUUCAACUUCACCCGACAUAUUUAUACAGUUUAAUGAGUUAAAAAGCUACAAAGGAAAACGACAAGAAGUGGGUACUAGAAAUAGUUGCCCGGUCUUUUUCCUUCUUGCCGGGGGCUGCUUCUGCUUAUCUGGAGGAUGCGCUGGACCCUCACUCCUCUUACCCUUCCCCUUCGCAUGUAAUAUCAGCCCUUUUAAUCCUUCCAGCCAAACAAAUCUCUUUAAACUCUUUAGGUAAUGUAUUUUUUCUCUUUAUUUCUUAUGUUUUUUUUGUUCUGUUCUUUUUUUUUUUUAACCCUAAAGUUGAAAGUUGGAAUUUUUGGGAAAGCUUUGGGAGAUCAAAUCAAUAACCCAGUGUUUCUUUCUUAUCAUUAAGCCAUCCUUUAACUUGCAAUCUUAUUUGUUUUUUUUUUCAUGGUUUUGGGUUUUGUAUUCAAUCUGGGAAAUUACUUGUUCUGUUUUCUUAUUAGGGGUUUUGGGAUGAUUGAAACAGUGGAAACUGGAAAGUAGCUAGUUUUGGGAUCACUUUGGUGAAAGGUUUUAAUUUCCUCAUGUCCACAUUCAGUUAUUUCAUCAUUGUUUUAUUUUUUUUAAUUGUGUGAUUUAAGGGUUGAAAUUCUUAGAUAUUAAGGUUUUCUGAAUUCAUUCAUUGUGGUUUAAAUAGGGUUUGGGUUGGGGAGGGCGCAAUGCAGAAUAACUCAAAGAACAAAUGUAUAUCUGCAUCUCACCAGCUGAUGGUGGACAAUGCCAAGAACCGGCUCAAUAAUCUUCAAGAACGGUUCACUGAUCUUCAAGCCGCUAGGAAGGAAGGUCGAGCUGGUGAUGUUGCAGUGCUGGAGGAGCAAGUUUAUCAGAGUCUUCGUGAGUGGAAAGCCGAGCUCUGCGCACCAUCCCCCGCCACUUCUUUACUUGUUUGUAUCUUUUAUUUUAUCAACACUAACUUAAACUUUUUGCAUCAAUCUCUAGUUUGCUGUAAAUAGAAUGGGGGGUAAAUUCUGUUUGUGAACUCAUUGGGUUGUUUUUCUUUUAAUUUUAUUGUUUGUUUGCCUAAGGAUGAAGUAACGUUUGAUUAAUUUUAUGUAGGGUGGUAGUCUUGGAUCAUUCUCAGAUGAUAUAAAUCGAUUGUUGCAACUAUAUGAGGAGGAAGAUGAUGCGUCUAGUCCAUUAAAGGGACCAGCAGUGCUGAAGCCUGAAACUGAUGUUCAAAGCCUUAAUCCAUGUAAUUUACCAGUAGUUCCAGAGGUGAGAGCUAUAUCUCUGAGGGAGAUUGUUAAUAUGGAGAAAUAUUUAUUACUUUUUCUAGCGCUCUCUCUCUUUAAAAAAAAAAAACCGUAGUUAAACACUAUUUCUCUGAAAAGAAAGGAAAUUAAAUUUUGAAUCAGAAGUUUAUGUUUGAUUUUAGUCAAUAUAUUUCUUUAUUAAGCAAGACUGGGUGGAGCCAUCCUUCUCUAGUAGGAACAUUGGCAAAGUCCAGGUGCCAAAAGUUUAAUUUCAUUUGAUAAACCUGUACCCUUUGAACUUGAUUGGUAUGCAUGUUCCUUAAUUGUGUUGCUCAUACUUUUUUACUUCGGUGUGUGCAAAGUGCAUCACAUAAAGGGCAUAAAUUUGUAUCUUUAAAGAUAUUAGCUCUUGUAUGUUGAUUUUCUUUCUCCUAAUAAUAGUCAUUUUCUUUUUAAAGUAAUGAUGGCUUAUUUAAGGACACACCUUCUCGCUUAGAUUUCUGGAUAUUAGACAUGACUUAAUUGAAUUGAUCAUUAUGCUUCCAUUUUUGACUUUUAUGUAUAACCCAUCUCAAACAGAAAUUUAAAGCAAAAGUAUGCAACUGUGUAGAUUUCUUUGAAAGACUCAUUGAUUUAGCAGUCCAAGCAUAAAUCUGUGAAGAGAUAAACAUAUAAAUGAUUCAAUGAUGUUUUCUUGAGUUGAAUUUUGGCAUCAUUAUUUUUUCUUUUCUGGUUAUGUUUUGUUGGUUUUUGUGAGCUUCCAGUGGUUUAUUGGUAAUCUUUCACGUGAAGUCAUUUGCCUGGAAGUGGCUGAUCAAUAAAACACAUUUUCUACCUCAGGAUUAUUUAGUGAAUCAUGAGCUACAACAACAUGGUUUGCAAGGAUUUGAUCCAUGUAAAGUUUCUACCUCAGCUUUGGAGACCACAGCGGUUGGUAAUGACAUAAAUUAUCAAUUGGAUUAUCAUCCAUUUGAUUUACAGCAGGAAUUUGACCAUGGGCCUCUCAUUGGUGCCAAUGGUACUGAAGAUUGUGUGAAGGAUGCUAGCCCCAACAUUCUACCAAAUAUCUCUCCUCCACCUUCUGCUUUCAUGGGACCAAAAUGUGCUCUCUGGGAUUGUACUAGGCCUGCUCAAGGAUCUGAUUGGUAUUAUGACUACUGUAGCAGCUUUCAUGCUACUCUAGCUCUAAAUGAAGACCCCCCUGGCAUGACUCCAAUUCUACGUCCUGGUGGAAUCAGUUUAAAGGAUAAUUUACUACUUGAUGCACUUCGAGCAAAGACACAGGGUAAAAAUGUUGGCAUCCCUCAAUGUGAAGGUGCUGCUACCAUGAAAUCUCCUUGGAAUGCUACAGGUAAGCCAAUACGCUUUUGCCUUUUUUGUUUUCUUGCAGCUAUAGUAGAUAAUGUGGGAUGAUUUGGUUCAGCUUCUUACGUGAAAUAUAGUGUCUGAUUAUUUUGCCCCCUGCUUUCUUUUGUUUUUGGGAAUUCUGGCAUGCAUAUUUUACUUGGAAAUUAAAAACCUUGCUGCCUGUUGUCCUUUUUCUUGUUCUUCUCUGUCCUUUAACCAAACAAAUGUCUUGAUAUUGCAGAGCUAUUUGAUCUUUCUUUACUUGAGGGUGAAAUAAUCCGAGAGUGGCUCUUCUUUGAUAAGCCUAGGAGGGCAUUUGAAAGCGGGAACAGAAAGCAAAGGUCAUUACCAGAUUACUCUGGACGUGGUUGGCAUGAAUCAAGGAAGCAAGUGAUGAAGGAAUUUGGGGGGCAGAAGAGGUCAUAUUACAUGGACCCACAACCUUCUGGCCAAUAUGAGUGGCACUUGUUUGAAUAUGAGAUCUAUGGCUGUGAUGCUUUUGCUUUAUAUAGACUGGAGCUAAAGCUUGCCAAUGAAAAGAAGAGUCCCAAAGUAAAAGUUUCAAAGGAUUCGCUUGCUGAUCUGCAGAAAAAAAUGGGAAGGCUCACGGCUGAAGUUCCUGGAGAUGACAGAUCUCCUGGUAAGGGCAAGACAAAGGCUAGUAAGAAGGCAGAUGCCAGAAAUGUUAGUUCUGCUCAAGAUUAGAUGACCAUUUAAGAUUACAUGCUUAAAUAUGGAUCUAGUGUUUCUGAACAGUCAUCUUGCUGAGAAGAUCAACUUGCUGUGGUGGCAUAUAAAUGAGCAGUUUGUUGUGCAUUUGGCAUCGAAUGUCAUUCUGCAUCAAGCUUGCUGUAGUUGCUAUAUAGACACAUAUCUUAGGGAGUCAUUAUCUUCGAUAACUCUCUUUCUUUUUCCUUCUUCAAUUGCUGCUUGGUGGCAGCUUUUUUCAACAAGGGGACGGCUCGGGCAUCACACCAUAAACUGGGUAUGGAAAUACGUCUCAGAGAUGCUGGGCCUGGGUGCUCUUUAACUGCUUAUGGAUGGAUUAUGUACAGAGUAAGUUGAAAGCUCUAUAUCUGACAGUAUUCUAACCAUGGGGAGGACGGUAAAGGCUAAAUAUAGAUGAAAAAAGUGUAUAGGGGAAAAGUAUUGGUUUCUCCCUUUGAUCAUGCAAGUCGUGGAUUGUUUUUGUCAUCCUUGUAGUUAAUAUACAAUCAAAUGGGUGCUCUUUUACUGCUUUUGUUUGCAGUUUCUAUGAGACAUUAGUAUUUAUGCUUCUUCUUGUUAGAAGUUUGUUCCUUUCUGCUUAUAAGUUAUUUAUAAAUAUGAUGUGCUUGAUUUAUGCUUGUCGUACAUUUGCAUGAGAAGCAAUUGUAAAGUGACUGUUGAGGGAUCAAGCCUGUUCCCCUGCCCCUGCAUGGUUUUAGGCAGAUAAGGCCAGGCCUAGCUGACAGAGAGAAAACAUAAGCGAGUGGGAUGAUCGUCUACUACUUCUACUUGUCCUUUUUCUCAAGCUUCAAACCUUAAAGGCAAACAAUUCUUAAAUGUAACAAUUUAGUAUGUCCAAGAGGCUUAAUAAAUAUGAAAAAUUAUAAAUUUCAGCAUAGCAAAUCUAACAUAACAUCUCAAUGCAACAUACAAUAUAAGCUAAACUUCAAAAUAUCAAACUGAAGCAAACAUUCAACAACAUUUUUCAUGAACAACUAACUUAAAAAACACAUAAGGAAAUUCAAUCUUAACUUUCCAAGGAAUUACACAUAAAUUCCAACAAUCAAUAUUUUAAUAAGGAUUUUAAAAAAUUGUAUAAUAAUAAUUUGAAAAAUAGAUUAUUUAAUAUUCGAUUUUUUUAUCAAUUUGAUCAAAAAAUUUAUAUAUUGAAAAUCGAACCUAAUAGACUAAAAAAAUCAAACAUGAAAAAUCUAAUUUCGUUAUCUACUGAUGUCGUAGACAACAAAAUUCUACUAUAAUUCUCAAAUAAAAUCUAAUUUCGUUCUUGUAUAAUUUGGCUUAUAAAAAAUGAAAUUUUUAAUUCUGUUCUUGAUUUAGGGGUUUUUUAAAUGAAAGUUAUUUAACACAAUUAGAAUUAUCAUUAACAAGCUUUUCAUAAAGGAAAAAAAGAAAGAAUUAUCAUUAACAAAUUGGAUAAAUUUUAUUAAUAUUUAUAAUAAAUAUUUAUAUAAAUUAUUUAAUAAUAUUAAAAUUAAGAAAAAUAAUUUUAAUGAAAAUCAUUAAACGCAAUUAAAAUUAUUAUUUAUAAAACAGAUAAAUCUUAUCAAAAGAAAUCUACAAUAAUAAUUCAGAAAUAAAAUGAAGAAACUGUGGUUCUCUGUCAACUAAAAAAAAUUUAACACUAUCUGUAUUUGUACAUAUACUAUAAAUUAUAAAUAUAGAUAAAUAGAUUAUAGAUAGUGUAGAUAAAUGUAGAUGUAGUUGCUUAAGGUCUCAAAGGGUUGUUAAAAUGGAAAAGGAGGGCCUGAGGAGGAGGAAGGGACAAGGGAAAAAAAGAAAGGUGGAAAGAAAUGAGACAACAAUCCUUGAAUAGAAUCUUAAUUAAGAAAAAUAAAAUAUAAAUAUAAAAUUGCUCAGGUGGGUGACGUUAGAUUUGGCCAUGUGAAAGUGAGACAUCAAAGCGAUUUAGUAGCCAAUUUAUUGGUAGUAAAUCAAAUCAAAUGUUGCCGUUUUAGCUGCGGUAUCCACUCCAUGGAAAACACAACCCAAAAUGCGUGAUGUGGAUCAUAACGUUUUCCAUGUGUGAGUGGGACACAUCACGGGUCUGUCAUUUCUUUGGACUUCACUUUUUUGCUUUUGUAAGAAGUGUUUACAUCAAAUAUUAUUAGGUGGAGUGUUUUUUCUGUCACGUUAAACACGCAAACGCGUGUAAAAAUAACAUAUCCCUAUUUGCCUUUAGUUGAUUUAUCCAUUCAUUGGCUGGGUUUUUUUUUUUUUUUUUUUAUAAUUGAGAGAGAAAAAUUUAAAGUCUUUCUUUUUAAGUAGGAAGAUCCUAUUUCAAUCAAUGAAAUAAAUAUUUAAGUACUUAUUCAUUGACUGAGUUGGUGUCUAUUAAUUCAUAAAACUCAAUUAUUGAAAACUUUAAAAAAGUAAUAUAUAUAUAUAUAUAUGGACUCCAUUUUUUUUAUAAAUGUAACAAAAUUAUUAUUAUUAAUUUUUAAGAGCUCAUAUAUAUUGAUAUGAUAAAUAUUAAUGACACAUAAUUAUUUAAUUGAUUAUGUCUAAUUUUUUUUUUAUUUUUUCGUGGUCGAAAACCUGUAAACCUAGUAUAGUACUUUUCUUGAGAGACACAAUUCCGUUUUUAGUUAGAGGAGAAAGAUAUUGUGAAUCUAGUUGAUGUGGAACUUAACAAGCAUGCCCCAACAAGAUAAUUUAAUAGACACAUUUUUUAUUAUAGCAUGCCUUUUUUGACCAUGGGUUUAAUUGAUUAAAUUAUAUUAGUAGGCAAAAAUUCGUCUAAGAGGACCAUCUCCACUACUCUUUAUAUAGCAUAUUUGAGUGCCAUAAUGCUUUACAACAAAUUAAAAAGAAGGACCUUGCAUGCAUCAAGAUAAAGAUGGAUGUGGUCUGUGUGAAUGGGGAGAAGCAUAUUAAUGAUCAUGAGCUACUUCAGGCUCAGGCUCACGUCUGGAACUACUUGUUCAACUUCAUAAACUCCAUGUCUCUAAAAUGUGCAAUUGAUUUAGGCAUCCCCGACGUCAUUCAAAACCAUGGCAAGCCCAUGACAGUUACCGAGCUGGUUGCUGCACUGCCGAUCAAUGCUACCAAAGCAAGCAGCAUUUAUCGGCUCAUGCGCAUUUUAGUUCACUCGGGCUUUUUUGCGCAACAAAAGCUAGGCAAUAACGACCAAGAAGAAGGGUAUGUUCUUACCCACGCUUCUCGUCUCCUGCUCAACGGUGAUCCCUUGAGUGUGACACCUUUCUUGAAGGCUAUGUUGGAUCCCAUUUUAACAAAGCCUUGGCAUUUUCUAGGUGCCUGGUUCCAAAAUGAUGACCCGACCCCAUUUGAUACGGCGCAUGGGAGGACAUUUUGGGACUAUGGUGGCCAUGACCCAAUGCUUAGCCAUUUUUUUAAUGAAGGCAUGGCUAGUGAUGCUCGAUUGGUUAGUAGCAUACUGAUUCACAAGUGUAAGGGGGUGUUCCAGGGAUUGAACUCGAUGGUGGAUGUUGGGGGUGGCAUAGGUACCGUGGCCAAGGCCAUUUCUGAUGCAUUUCCACACUUGGAGUGCACUGUGUUUGACCUUCCUCGUGUUGUUGCUGGCCUACAAGACCGUGGGAACUUAAAAUAUGUUGGAGGAGACAUGUUUGAGGCAGUUCCAGCUGCAGACGCAGUUUUACUCAAGGUUUUUACUAACUUUAUUCUUAUUUUCUCCUUGUAAUUCUUUUUAAUUUUUUGCUAAUAAUAAAUUAAUAUUUUUUUAUAAGUCAUGAAAUUGUGCAUUUCAUAAAAAGAAAGGUUACUAAAUUCCAUAAUUCUUCAAAGCAAGAUAAAAAAAAUCCCUAUCGGGAGUACCUUGCUCACUCUCUUUGUGCAAAAACAAAAUAUACUUCUUCACAAAAUAUUCUUUAAACAAUUUCAAUUCAAAAUCUCAUAAAAAAAAAAACUCAGCAAACAUGCUUAACAGUUAUCUCAAUCCCAAACACAACAAAACCGUGAACAACUAUAAAACUCAUCAAAUAUGCUUUAGUUGUUUCUUCUCCCUGAACCUAUCAUCUUAAUCAAUCCGAUCCAACUCAUAAAAACGAACAUUUCCUUUGCAGCACACAUUUCAGAGCAAGUCAUCACAAAAAAACACUCAGUUACCACAUUCAACAUGCUGAUUGUAAUCAUCAUAAAAAAGCAAAAUUACUUGUUUAUCGUUUUUGAAAACCUUAAAAAUCACCAUGCAAAUAAAAUAAAAUAAAAUAAAAAAUCCCGAAUCCAUUCUCGUCCUUUUCCUGAACAAAACCACACCUCUAAACUGCAGGAAUCUCUAAAAGUUGAAUCUCAAUUUACCAAUCAAUGCAGAGCUCACACACUUCCAACCUACAACGACUCAACAAAUCGAUAUCCUAAAUCCUAAAGACCCCAAAAGGCAUAUGGACACAAAUAACGCAACAGCUGACCAAAGUAAACCCUUUAAUAGUUUUAACAAUAGUAAAUUCAAGGAAGCUGCGUAAGAAUGCUCCAUCGACCAACCAAACCGAACCUCAGGACUUUCGAUAACUAGAAUCAUUCGACAAAGACAAGUACCAAUGCUUGUCUUUGCAGAAUAAUCCCCGUGUUUUAAUUCCACCUCACCCAUGCUUCAACACAAGCUAUCUCCUAAAAAUCACCCCAACAAAAACUUGUUUCAGGCGAUCCCCAACCAUUCAUCCCCAUGCUCCAUAAAUCAAAAAGUUUUCAACAAUCUCUUAGCCAUUCAAAAUAAAAUUUGACAAUAAAUCCAAAAGACAACAGUCAAAUAAGCCUCAACAUAAUCACCCAAACCUUGCUUUCAAUACGAAUAAAACCCAAGCCCGUGCUGCCAUUUGCCUGUGUGACGCCUUACCAUCGCGAGUUCCAUGCAACCCAAAACCAUAUGCUAAUUCUAUAACCCUCAAAUUUCAGUCUCCUCGCCAUUAUCUCUUUAUAGAUCUCUGGAUUUAUUUCUUAUGAUACCUUGCUGCUGCCCUUACCCCUUCCAACGUAGUAAAUCUCUCCAACAACAUCUGCUCACUUCCAACUACCUUUAAUCCUAGUGCUUUCCCAAGGUUCCAAGUUUCCUUGGCUUCAGCCUUGAUGAUGCUAUUUCUAUUUCUAACAUCACUGUCCGACAAGGAUAUGUUUGUUGCCCUUUCCUCCUUUCCUCCAGAUUUCUUUUUGAUUUUCUUCUUUCCCCCUUUCUUCUUCCCUUUCCCUUAUCUAUUCCUCCCUCCACCUAUUUUUACCUCAAUAUCACUUAACGAACCAACUCUUCGAUUUCUUGGUUUCCCAAACCAUGGAAAUUCGUCCACUUCCUCUGAUGCUCACAAAUUAAUUGCAAGGUUUAGGGUGCUUAGAAAACCAAAUUAAACUGUUCUCUUAAAAUUUGGAGAUUAAAUUUGGUACAAAAUUAUUACUUGGCCAAGUAAAGGCUAGUCUAUAUUUACUAAUGUAUUGGAUUAGCAAGAUUUUCAUACAUGAAUUUGACGAUAAUGAUCUUAUAAGUUUCUAAAUAUUGUUUAGUAUGUACGUGAUCAUAGGUAACACAUUAUAACACACUAUGUGAGUUAUUUUUCUGUCAUGGCAGCACGUGGUUGGGAGAUGAAUUUUGGGUUGUUGGGCUCAUUUCUUGAAUUUUGCCUUAUUUUUGACUUGUGGACUGUGAGUAUUUACCUUUUUGUUUGAGUUGUAGGAUGUAUUUAGGGCAAGAAAUUAUCUGACAUAUCUCUAAUUUUUUGUCGAGUGCUCAAUUAGCCCAAAUAAUAGAGAAAUUAACCAUCCCCUUCAUAUAGUCAAAAUGAAACCAGGUGAUAUAGCAUAUACCUCAAAAACCCCCAGCUGGACAUGUAUAAAGAAGAACCAAAAGAAUUUAAACUCGUUUUAUAGAAAAUUAGGUCAAGAUUUAAUAAAAUAAAACUCAUCUCCACUUAUCUUGUUGUCCUUCUAAUGGUUAAUAAUCUAAUUCUUCCCUAUAAAUAUUGUCACAGGAGUAGAAUAGAGAGAUUUGUAAAUUAAAUGAAGUAGCUCAAACUGAUUAAACUCGAUGAGGUCAUCACUUAUUUAUGAUAAUUAAACAGUGGAUAUUGCACGAUUGGAAUGAUGAAGAAUGCGUGAAGAUUUUGAAGCGCUGUAAAGAGGCAAUUUCACGAGGUGGCAAGGGAGGGAAGGCAAUUAUAAUAGACAUGGUAUUGACGGAGAAGAACCACAAAGUGAAUGAUGCAUCCAUUGAAACGCAACUCUUCUUUGACAUGUUGAUGAUGGUGUUGGUGACUGGAAAAGAGAGGAACGAGGAAGAGUGGGCUACGCUGUUUUUGGCAGCUGGUUUUAGUGACUAUAAAAUCACUCCGAUAAUGGGUUUAAGAUCUCUCAUUGAGGUAUACCCUUAAGAGAGUCUUGCUUUAUUCUUAUAAGAAUAAUAAAACUACUAUUAUUAACUUUCAUGUUAUUGUUACAGUUGUUGGUUUGUACUUGUCUCUACUUCUAUUGUCUUAUAGUACUAGAAAAGACUGAACUCAUCGAUUAAGAAAUAAAACAUUACUUCACUUGAAUCAGAUUUAUUGUCCCGUUUACAUUGGAAUUGUUGGUGUUGAUCUUACUAACUAAAAAUUCUUUCAAUUUCUUAAUUCAAAGGGCUCAACCAAUCGGGUUUCUUGUCAAAUAAAGAACAUAAUUCAUGCGAACCUCGAUUAGUAAUAGUAGUUGAAAUGGAUGAAUUAGCUGAAUUAAUUGCCCCUUUCUCUCACAUUUUUAGAAGCAUAGGUAAUUUAUCAUUAUUGAACAUUGAAAGGAACCUCUUAGCCGAAGCUAAGCAAGUAUACAGCUAACAACGACACAUUCAGUUGUUAGUCCAACAACUCCGUUGUCUCGCCUGAGGUUCGCAUUGUUUUAUUGAGCCAAGGCGAGUUUCUUAAUCGAUAAUAUCUCAUGUUCAAGAAAGGAACCACUCACAAACUAUAACAACCCACAAAAACAACAGCCUCAUUCAACGCAAGACCUUUGUAUAAAAAAAUCGAACCUUUCCCCAAAUUAUUCCCAUGGAAAUCUUGUACAAAAAGUCGCAAUUAAGCAAUUAAUAGUCCAGUAAAAUCCGCAUCCAUUUAGAAAAAUAUCAAGCAAUAAUGCUUAAACCCAAAAACUGAAACUACAACCCAACAAUCACAACCUUUCUAAUUGCACCACCUCAUUUGAAGCAAGACACAAACAACUUAAAAACCUUUAAAUUACCUGAAGACAUCGCUUCAUUUCAGUUGGGCCGUCCAAUUUCUUUAAUUUUCGAUGAUCACCUCCUCACUAGAAUUUAGAAUCAUCAUCGGAUAAAGAUUCGUUCACCACUCUUUAGUUGUCUUCUUCAAUUACCAGAUUCUUCGAUUUUUUCCAACUCGACCCUUAUGCUUCAACAUUGACGCUUUUCCUUUCCUCGAUUACUGCUCAAUUUCAUUCAAGAGGCUAGAUUUUCAAUUACUCAUCUUUGCUAGAAGAGGAAGAUUUGCUAAAAGUAUUUUCCGUUUAACAGCUAUGUCACCCGAUCGAUGCGGUCUUGACGUUGACUCAAUGACUUCCACGGGUUCAUUAUCGUCGAAGCCCAAUGCCAUUGAAUCAUUGCUCAUGACUUGAUCUAGCCCAUCCUGUCCGGAUUCAUCCUUUUCUAGCCCAUGUUUUUACAUGACAUGUUCUACUUCUUCCUUUUCCUUUUGUAGGUUUUAAGAAUUUAAUGGAUGGGUAAAAUAUCUUUACUUCUUAAAUUUUGAUUAAAAUUAUAUAAAAAUUUAUUAAUUUUUAAAAUAAAAAUUCUAUUCUAAAAAUAUAUUUUUUGUUAGACACGUAGGUCAAGCCGUUAGUCAACCGUUAGUAAUUCUAUCAAUUUACUAAGAUAAUAAAGAUAAAAAGAUAAUUUUAUCCUUAAUUAAUUUUUAUAAUUAUUAUUAUUAUUAUUUAUUUUUUAUCAAUUAAAAAAAAAAGCUCAUCAUCUAGGGAGCCUUGAUUAGGCUCCCUAAGGGAGCACCGAUGCUCCCUUCCUUUGAGACCAUCGGCUGGUGCUAACCUCCAUUGGGGAGCACCGAUCUGUUUUAUUUUUUUUCAAAAAUAUAAUAAUAAUUUUUAAAAUUAAUAAAAAUGGUAUUUUUAUCUUUUUAUAAUUUCUGUUAAUGAUGUUUGCAUUUUUAAGGUGAAGUGUCCAUUUGUAAACUAUUAGACCCGUUUAGAAUUUCAACCAAAACUUAAGAGGGUGGGGGUAUUUUACUCUUGAUCGAUUUUCACACCUUCGGACACAAUUAUUAGCCAAUUUAAAUUUUUAGAAACAAUAGUCUCCCUUUUAAGAUUUGCUAUUUGAUUUACCAAAUAUUUGUUAUUGCUAGAAUUCAAGUCCCAUAAUCCUCUUUCCACGUCAUCUUUCACCCCUUAUCAAUGAGUUCUUACUUAAGUCUAUUUGCCACUUCAGCUUCUUCUUCCACCUCCAGGGUGAAGCAUGGUCUCUAUGACAAAUUUGGUCCUAGAUUUGCAUGUGGGAUUACACUCCCCUUCAUAUUUUCCUUCACCCUUUUCCCUUUCAAACACUGAAAUUUCUUGCACCCAAAUCUAGAAAACUUUAUUUGCCAUCUCCAAUUCAAGCACUUCAUCCCAACAUCCUUUUUUGUUUAUCAUAAACAAUUUCCAUAACACUAUAAUACAGAUUAUCACAAUUGAUCUUUUUAUCAUCUAAAGAUACUAACUCACCCCACACACUAGCAAUGUUGUAAAAUGUGUUAUAAUAUCGCCAUAGACAAAAACACUAUGAACCUCAACACAUUUUUUAUUGUAUUUUAAGGUGAAACUUUCAGAUGACGUAGACAGUCUAACAAGUAAUAAUAUUUAGUAUUUUUCUUUUUAGUUAGGAAAUUUAUUAAGAAUUAUAGGAAUAAUAGAAAUUUUCUUUUUAUUUUAAUUUACUUGGACGACAAGUAAGCAUAGCUUUAAAAAUUUAAUUUUCUUGUACUCCAAGGAAGUCCAAAGUAGAAUACUUCUUUAUUUUAGUUUACUUUACUUACACUCUAAGUUUAGGCUAAGUAGGAUUAGACUAUUAUAAAUAAUACCUUUAGACUUAAUUAUUAGACAACUUAUUUCUUUUGAAUUAUUGAAUAAUAUUAUAUUUUUUCUCUAAUUUUGAGUGUAAGUUUUUGCGUUUAAAACUUGGUUAUCAACCUCCAAAAACAAACCCUGGUUUAGAAAGAAUAGAAAUCUCAUGCUCGCUAUUUGUGCCCCAUUGGUGCCCACUUUCUCUUUUCAUGCCAAGUUCUAGUUUUUUUUUGUUAUUUAAUGGAUGACGAAAAACAUUAGGAGUCAUAACUUGUAACGGCUGCAUUUUGCUUUUGCUGCAAUGCUUUAAUCUGUUUUUACUUUGUCUCCAACAAUUCUAUUGCUUCAAAAAGUUCAAGAGAGCUUAUGUUCAACAAGUUUUUUUUUUUCACCGAAAAGGAUCAAGAUAGUGGUGGAUCCAAGAUUUUGUAUGAAGAGUAGCUAAACAGUAAUUAUACAAGAUCAUGGGUUAGGUUAUGAAUCGAGUCAAUGAUUCGAUUAUGAGAAAAAAAUUAAUCACUUUUGAUAUAAAAUUAAAUUGUAACAUAAAAUUUCACUAACAAUUUGAAUUUAUAUAAGUUUUCAGAUUCAUCAAUAUAAAUAGACAUAAAACAGAAAAAAAAAUUAACAUUAGAUAUUCACACUAAGUAUCGUAAUAGACAUAAAGGAGAGAGAAAAAUUAACAUUAGAUUUUCACAUUAAGCAUCGUAAAUUGUGCUUGACGUGAAAAAAAGUUGUGUUCAAUGUGAUUUCAUGCUUCAAAGGAAAAAAAUUGAAAAGAAGAAAAGGUUGAAAAAAGUUGAAAAGAAAAAAAAAGGUUUAGUAUAUUCAUAAAAGAGAAAAAAAAAGAAAAAGGAAAAAAAAAGAAAGAAAAGAAAAGAAAAAUAAUUCCAAGCUUUCAGAGGAACAAAAGUUGAAAAGAAAAAAUGUUGAGAAGAAAAAAGAAGUUUAGUAUAUUUAUAAAAGAGAGAAAAAAAGAAAAAGAAAGAAAAAAGGAAAAAAAGAGAAAAAAAAAAGGAAAAGAAAACUAAUUCCAAGCUUUCAAAGGAAAAAAAGUUAAAAAGAAAAAAAAAGUUUAGUAUAUUUAUAAAGGAUAGAGUAAAAAGAAAAAGAAAAAGAAAAAAAAAUUCCAAAAUUUAGACUUAAAAAAAAUUGAACCAGGCCCCAUUAAGUUUCUUAUCACUACUUCAAAACAACACAUUUGAUAUGUAUAAGGGUGGCAAAUCUAGAUAUUUUUAAUUAUAUAUAUAUAAAUAAAAAAAAUUUAAAACCUUCACCCUUUCCCUUUGUCCUUGGAUGAGGUGUUUUCCUUCCUAAGGAGUGCCUGGUAGUCCCUAAUAAUAUUAAAUACAUUUGCAAAUCAUGAAAUCUUGUUUAUUGUCCAAAGUAUGACAUGGUUUCUAAUGGAGUUAAUGCUUUUAAUAAAAUAUCUGUCUUCAGGGUUGGAUUUGUCAAGAUUUUUUGAAAGAUGGAAUAAUAAGAGCUUGUGUUUUUGAAAUUGAUAUCAAUUCUAGAAGUAGGAAAAAGAUGAAAUAAGAAAAUUUGAUGAAAAAGAGAUUGAUUACCGAUAUUGUUUACAAAAAAAGAAGAUUGAUGCCAUAUAAUGGCACAAGAAUCAAAUAAGCUAUGAGAGUUUCCAAAGCUAGAUCUUGUUCUUUUGAGUGCAUAGUUGGUGGUGAUCUCUAUAUGCAGUUGUGAUUUAAUUCAAAGAUCUAGUAUAAUAAGAGAACGGGCAAAGAUCAAAUGGGUGAAAUUACAACCAAGGGACAAAACAAUUAUUUACUUUGUUCAUGCAAGAAAAAGAACAUGCUCUUGUUAUUGCUGGAAAGUAAUGUUCAGUUAUGGUUGCUAUAGAGCGCUAAGAAAUGUGCUAAAGUGCUGCAUAUCAAACAGCAAGAUUAACAAUUUUAAGUUAAAAUUUUCAUGUCGCAAACCUGUUUGACCCAAAGAGUUACUAUGAAACUCGUGAAUAUUGAGAAGUUAACAAAUUCCACACAUGUUGAUGAGAUGUGUUUGCAUACAACAAAUAAAUCAGCCAAACUAGCAAGCUUUCUAAUUCUUUCAUUCUUAUUAAUAACACAACUUCAUUUACAAAAUGCUCAAUUAAAGUUCCAGCAACAAGAAGGCGUUGUACAUAAAUGAACAGUAUUUGCUCUUUUAGCAUCAGCCUAAGUUCUUGAACUUUUUCUCUACUAAAUAAACAAAAUAUAAGUCUUGUGAAUAGUUUUCACCAAUUUAUGUGAAUCAGUGGCUUAUAGGGUUUUCUCUUUUAAGGAUUUCUAUACAAGACUUUAAGGGUGCAAAGGGAGUUCGUGUAAUAGGGAGAGAAAGCAUUGUAAACAAGUAAAAGAUGUAUCAGAAACGGUAAAGAGGAAGAUCGGAGUAGUUCCUGAAGUAUUGAGUAUCCUGGUAGGUGGAAGAGAAUAGGUAGAGAAUGAGAAAAUAAAUGAGAAUUAGAGAGAAGCCUUAGAAAAGUGAAGUCCCUCUAAUGAAUUGUGAAGGCUCUAUAUAUGAUGUUAGAAGUGACGAUUACUUAAGAAUAGAUUUUAAUACACGUAUUGAAUAAUGUCAUUAAGAAGAGUUUUAAUAUGAGUAACCACUACUUGCGCUUAAGCAUUUGACUCAUUGCUUAGUGCAUAAUUUCUUUCUAAAAAAGAGUAGAGUUCGAAUCCCCUUUCCCUAAAUAUAAAAAAAUAAUAAAUACUUUUCAAGAUAGCAGGAAAAAGCAAGGAAAAAAUUUUAUUAGCUAUCUCCAAUUCAAUCACUUCAUCCAAACAUCCUUCUUUAUCAUAAACAAUUUGCGUAACACCAUAAUCCAAAUUAUCACAACUGAUCUUUUUAUCAUCUAAAAAUGCAAACUCACCCCAUACACUGGCAAUAUUGUAAAACGUGUUAUAAAACUGCCAUGGACCAGAACACCAUGAACCUCAACACAUUUUUUAAUGUAUUUUAAGGUGAAACUUUCAUACUCGAGCUCCAGCUAUAAGAACCAAUUAUUUAACUAGUAUUAAUUCUUCUGCUUCAUUCACUACAAAUAUUAUGGUUUUUCCAAGUUACUCACAGAUUUUCAACGGCAUUUUUUGUCAGUAAAUUAGUCAAGAAAGCGAUUGUAGAUACAUUCAAAUAGCAAUGACAUUUGUCGAUUGGUAAAAAAAAAAAUAGUUGAUAACUUGACAAAGUUAUUGAUAGAUUUCUUACGUAUUUGUCGAUGAAACACCGACUGAAUGGCAACAAAAACGACCUUUGCAAAAGUGGAAAAAUUUGUCAAUAAAUGAAGCAAAUUUCAUUGAUAAAAGAAGUAAAUUUUGUUAAUAAUAUAUUUCAAUUUGAUCAAAAAUACUAAUUGAAUCCAAUGAUAUUGAGUUUCAAUCUUGUUAGUAAUGAUGCCAAAAUUCGUCUAUAAUUUCGUCGAAACUACAAAGACAUUUUUUUGUAAAAUAAAAGUGAUUUGUAUUUUGUUUUGUUAUUGUUAUUUUGAUUGAUUUGGAAUUCAUUGCUAGGGUAAAAUAUGAAAUAAAAAAUUAUAAUUUUAUAAAAACAAAUUAUAGAAUUAUAUUUAUAAAUAUACAAAUAUAUUAUAAAUAAAUAAUACAAAUAGUUUAUGUUUGUUUUCCAUAAUUUUAUCAUGACCCAUUGAUUACUUUUGGUGCAGUUGAAAAGCUCGAAAAUGUCACUAGUCUAUCCAUUGCCUCUAACUUUAAUAGUUGCAAUAACAUCCAUCACAAAAUGAAAUACAUUAUAACAAUCACAAUUAUAAUAUCAUCACCAUUAUUUUCAUCUUCCUCUACCUUUUCUUCUUCUCCUUGAACUCUUUUAUCUUCUUCAUCAUCCAUAUCAUUUUCUUCCUCUUCAAUAAAAGUAUUAACCUCUCUGUAAUUACUACUAACAAGUAUCAUAUUAUUGUCAAAUUCUUACAAUGGAGUAGCAUAUCUUGUUAGGAACAUUUCAUCUUCUUGAUACACUAUGAAACUUCAACUUUGAAUUGAAGAUAGAAAUGUAACUUUUUUUAAGCAGUAAAGUCCAAAACUAUAGUACAAAAAUUGCACGAGUAUAGCAUUAAAAUUAAAAAGCCAAAAAAGUAAACCUAACCAACUAAGAACCAACUCAAUUUCAUCCAAUCAGCUCACAAGCUCAAUUCAAUUUGGCUUGGUUUGGAUCCAUCUUCUAUUAACAAAUACAACAAUUAGUUGCGUAGAAUAAGAUUGAGUAUAUAUAUUGCAAAAAAAUUUUACUGUAUAUUCCACUUGAUCUCUCGAGAUAACAAAUUAUAGCCAAAAUAUUUAAUCUCUAACUAAAACUUAAGGGGGAGAGGAAAAAAAAACUUAACUUGAUAUAUCACUAGUUUUCAGAUUCUUCUAUUUCUAACACUGCAUUAAAUACAAAUUCGUUUCCAAGAGUAAAUGAAAUUUUGAGCUCUUCUAUUUUUUUGGCUUGUGCUAAAACUUUUCUUUUUCUCAUUCAGAUUUUCUUUCUUUACAUAAUCAGUCACAUUGGAAGUAACUAUUUCAUGUAUGACAAACUUGGUGACAAAGUCUUCAACAAGAAUUUGUAAUAGGAAACUCUUUGGCACAUUCGUUGUUUUCCUUCCCUUUUGUCUACGAAAUCCAAGAUUGGUGGCGCUUGUCAUGCCAAAUAUAUCAAAACCUUAUCAAAUACCUUUUGUGUCUCAAUCCCACUCACAUCCACUUUAAGCUAUAUUUUAUAACUUAACUUGGUGAGUUAUUAAUUAAUGUUUUUCGUAUGAGAUAUUUAAAUAUUUACAAUUUAGAAAUUGAUAACUUUAUGAUGUAGAGUUAUUUGGUCUUAAUUUUUAUAAUAAAUUGGUUAAGUUUUUACGGUAAUGCAUAGAAAUUACUUAGGUUUUAUCUAAUUAUUUUAAGUUAGUUAAUUAAGUGAGUCAAUCUAAUCUUAGUUAAAUUUAUGCUUAAAUUGGUGUUCAUGUGCUUAAGAUAGGUUGUUAUUAAUUUAUUUGUGUUUCUAUAGGUGUUUAUUGAAAAAGGACUUAUAAUGGAAGAAGGAGAGAAAUGUUGAGGUGCAGACUUCUACUGCAUAUGUCUCAGUAUUUCAAUCAUAACUUUCUUUACAAAACUCCAAAUGAGGUCAUCCUUCAACCAUUGUAAAUCUAAGAGAAAAAGCUAUAACUUUUAUAUUUCCCACUUUGCCCAGCUCUAUUAGGAAGGUGGUAAAAAAACUUUGUUAAAGUUGACACACUGUAGCAAUCCUAGAGAUAGGCCAUGGAUCAAAUAAUCUGAUAAGGAAAUCCUAGUUAGACUUGACUUUUUUCUAUACCUAACUUGGCCCAGCUUCUAAUCCUUAUAAAAGCAACAUUUUGAAGAACUUUUGGAGACAUGAAACACUAGAUAUAGAGUUAAGAUUUAGCUACAAAAAAUCAUUGAAAAAUGUCUCAUUGAAGUUGAGAAGAAAUUGAGGGAUUCAAGAAGACUUGGAGAUUAAGAUUGCAAUUAUUGGGUUUUUUUUUUUUAUCUUUUUGUUGUUCUUUUAUUUUCUUGGUUUUGAUUUUGAUGAUUUAACUUAAUUUGAUAAUGCUGUGUGAUGAACUAAAUAAUUUAUCUAAGAUUAUGAUUAAACUUAAUACAUAAUCUGAAUUAUUUAUCUCUCUUCUACUUAUGUUUGAUGGUUUUAAGUUUUUUAUUCUAUUAUAUUCUUAAUGCUUCUAGUUGAUUGGCCACCAAAUAGAUUAAAUUGGAAACCUAAGUUAAACCUUGAUGAAGGAGAUUUACGAAGACUUUGUAUGGAAUAGCGUAUGAUCAAAUACAUUUAAUUGAUUAUGUAGUUUAAUUUGCAUAUAGGAUAGACAUACACCUAUAAGCCAUACGUAGUCAGGAUUAGAAUACGAACUUGAUGAAUCUUUCUUCAGUUUAAUUUGUAUAAACAUAUUGUAAGUUAAUUUAGAAAAAUAUUUUUAUGAGAAAUUCAAUAGAGACUCGUAAAUAAUUUAAGACUCUAGGUUAACAACUUAAUCCAUUAAACUAAAUUGAAAGAGAGAGACAAUAUUUAGAGGAAGUAUUAAGGGAUAUCAUAAUCUUAGGUCUAGUAGUUAAGUGAGUUUUAUAAAAUAAAUUUACUAUUUAAUUUUAGUUUCAAUUUAUUAGUUUUAAUUUUUAUUUUAAUAAUUUUAAAUUUAAUUGUUUGGAUAAGAUUAGGGUAUGUUAAUUUUAGUAGUUAGCAAACAAGAAUUAAAACAAUUCUCUAUGGGAACAAUACUCUACUUCAUUACUAUAUUACUUGUUUGCAAUACGUGUACUUGCAUGAAAAAUCAACAACAAGUUUUUGGUGCCGUUGUCGGGGAAUUGAUUUUUAAUUCUUUCUUGUUAAUAUUAAUACCAAGCAUUCCUGAUCUUAUUUUAGAUUUUGCUUUUCUUUUUCUUUGUUUUCAAAUACUUUUGGUUAAGGUGAUGAAUUAUUAUAAUUAUUAGUGGCUAUCUAAACAAUUGGAGCCCUGAAGGGUUGCUAGUGAUUAUGAAUUAGCUAUCAAUGCUUUGACCGCUUUGUAUAUGCUUUGUCUCAAAAAAUUGACACUUGUGGUGUUGGUGUUUUUUAGAGAGCUUUUGUGACAAGCAAACUUUGUGGAGAUAGGCAUUCAAGUGAUUGCUGUCCAGCAUAUUAUGAAUCAAUGCAAUUUGAUGGAAACUUCAAUGGGCAGCAAAACAAUUCAUACUUCAAUAGCUACAACUCAUGGUGCAAUCACCUAUAUUUUUCAUUGAGUAAUGAUUAAGGUCACAAAUAUUCAUCACAGCUUGUUUUCCAUAAUGGUUUUCAGUCACAAGUUAGAGCCCCUAUGCUUGAGAAUAAGCCUUCAAUAGAGGAUAUGUUCAUCCAAUUCAUGACAAAGACUGAUACCUUCAUGGCGAAGACUGAUGCCAUCGUUCAAAGUCAAGCAGCAUUAAUCAAAAAUCUUGAGACACAAGUGGUUAACUAGCUAGUGCCAUCAAUAAUAGACUUCAUGAUAAUAGAGAUAAAAUAGAUCAAAGAAAUACUUCUAGCAAUCAAGUUCAAGAUAAAGAAAUUAAGCAAGAGGAGGAAGUAUCUACACGACCACAAGUCAAGCCACAUGUGCUUCUCAUUUCUUUUCUAGAUAUAGUUGAUGAAUUACCUAAAGAGACUGUUGAUAUGGAAAAUCCAAAAAAACUCCUUGAAGCUUAUUUUGUUCAAGAUGCAACAACAAAAAUGCAUGUUUUAUUGAAUUAAUAAAUUUAUUUGAGAGAUAUGACCUUGAGAGGGUCAAAUGACUUGGUGUCAAACUCAGAAAAUAGCAUUUUGUGUUGUAACUAUCAAUAUCUUUGAAAGAGGUAUCAAUACUUGAAACCCAGAAAAGCUUCUUAAUAACAAAUAUUGAUACCUUUACCUAGAAAGGAACAAUAUCGAUACUUAUACUGAAAGUAUUGAUACCUACGUUGUGGAUUUGAAAAAAAAAAUGGUAAAAUAGUCUUUUCAUAAAUAAAAUAAUACCCUAAACCCUUCAAACUUUUUUUCAUUUUCUCUCUCUAUUCUAGUAUCUCUUUUCUCUCUCAUUUCUACUCUAUUUAUCAUCUUUUUAAGUUAUUUCAAAACGUUUAAGACUAAAUUUGAGAUUAGAUAAGGAAGUAUUGACGAUGGAUUUUUUAAUAAUGUUAGAAAAGUCUAUUAAUUAUGUUAGUGCAAUAAGCUCAAAUGUAAAAAUCCAAAAAAUGGGUGAAUUGGACUCUUUGAAAAUUUUGGCAAUUUUUAAAUCAAAUAAAUUUUCUUUUUGAAACAAGAUUGAAACAAUAAAAACUAAAAGAGAUGGAAAUCAAGAACACAAGAUUUAUAUAGAGGUUCAGCUUCCUUGCCUACGUCCUUUCCCUUAUCUCAUUAAGAAAUUUAAAAUCCACUAUGAAAAUGCUAUUUCAAGAUUCAAGCAUAACUCUCAUUAUAGUACUUUUUUAAGAAUGAGACUAUAACCUCUCUACCUUUUACUUUAGUUAAGGUAUAACCACAGAAUACUACCUUUUAAUGGUUAGAGUAUACCUCAAGAAUUUACAAUAAAUGAAGAGUAAAAAGCUAAAAAUGCCUUUUAAAGGUUGAUGAGCUACAACGGUUCAAGCUUGAAAAAGAUAAGUAUAAAGAUAGCAAAAAAUUCUGCACAAUAAAUGCUUGAAGAAAGAAUUUUGAUGCUCAUUGAGAAGUGAAUAAAUGAACUUGAAGCUUUACUCAAGUGUGGAGAUCUUUUUAAGAGUCUUCUUCUUCUUCAAAAUAGGUAGGAAGCUUCCUUUUAUAAUUUCACAAUCAAUUUGAGCCAUUAGGAGAAAUUUGAGGCAGAAACUAGCCAUUAAAGCGUUAAAUGCUAGUUUGCCAUGACUCUAAGAUUGAUUCUAGUAGUUUAGGGGUUGAUCUUUGCUUCAAAAUUGUCCUUAAAUAUAACUGAAGAAUCGAGCAUUUAAAUGUGGGGUUUGAUUCUAAUCACACAUGGCUUGGACAAUUUCUUUCUUUCUUUUCAUGGAUAGACCUUAACAUCGUGGGGGUCGAUCCUUCAAGGCUUCAAUAGCUUCACUUCUCUUCAAUGUCUUCUUGGGAUUGACCUCUUCAGUUUCGGGGGGUCGAUCUUUCAAGACAGCAUGCCUUGGGUGGUCGGUUCUAAGUACUUCUAGUAGCUACUUCACUCUUGUCUUUUAUUGGGAUCAAUUUUCUUGCCUUGGGGUGUCAUAAAAAAAGAAAAGAAAGAAAAAAGGAAGAAAAGAGAAAAAAAAAGCAAAAGAAAAAUGAAGAACAAUUUCAAGCGUUAUGUACUUUAGAAAAGAAAAGAUAGUUUUGGACUAAAAAAUAGUAUACUUUGGAUAAACUUUUUUGGACUUUACUUACCUCUUUUGUAAUUUGGUUUAUGAUUUUGUAAUUUGUCUUUUAUUUUAUAUUUGUUCUUUAGUUUUUACUUAGAGAACUUAAGUAACUAGUUAUUUAAAAUUAAGUAAAAUAACUUUUCAUUUUAAUUUGGGAAAGAAGGAGGAAUAUAAUGUAGAGAAAGAAGGGAAAAAAGUAUGAAAAAUAAUAUGAAGUUUAUAUAUUUAUUAUUAUUAUUUUUUCUCAUUUUCUUUUUUCUUUGAUCUUGUUGGUAUAUUUUCAAAAUAAAAGAUUAUGUCACAUAAUGAAAAUCUAUCUUAACUCAAAGGUUACGUCACAAAGAGUGAUGUAGUGUGACUAUUGGAUUAUAGGUGGGUUUUUAACGUGAAUAGUUAUGUCUCUUGGUAAAGUGACAUAUUGGAAAAACACCUUUGAAUCCAAAGAAUAUAAAACAAUUGGAAAAACACCAUAGCUCAAAAGUUUGGAUAAGAAAAGUUAUUUUUUCAUAUUAUAGCUCAAAGAUUAUGUUUUAUGCAAUAAAUGCUUGUCCUUUUAUAAAGUGAUUAUUGAAACAAUACCUUUAUCCAAGGAUUAUGUCUUACAAAAUGCAAAGGUAUCUUUAAAAUAAAUAGUUGCCUUGAUGAAAGGGUUUUGUCUUUGAAGAAGAGACAUUUACAAGCCUAUAAAGGACUUGCUGCCAACCAUUUUGACACACCAAAACAAAUAAAAUAUUGAUAGAAAAAUUAAGAGCAGUACAAGUGUUAUGUUCUAAAAUUAAACAUAAACACUUGAGUUCCCAUGCUCUAUCAAAGGAAUCCAAAUUCCUUAUAAUCUACUUGUUGUAAAAAAUAGACUUUAAGGAGAACUACUUUGCAAACCCUCUAGUGUAUUUAGCGAUCUACUCUCAUAAAGUGCAAGAUGAAGUUAGACAUUGGCUUCAUUGUAUUCCUAAAGCUAUUCACAUUAUUCUCCUUUACAUAUCGAGUGGUGGGGGUGAAAUAAGUCUUGAAGAUAGUGUCUAUUGAAAAAGCUUGCUUUGAAGUCAAUUUUGCUAGUUCCUUGAAUUUUAUUGAAACACCAUUUGCACCAACAAUUUUAAGAUUUAUUUUUCAUGGUGUUGGAACUCAAAAUAACUUCACUAAAAAAGAUGGUUACCAACAUUGUCAAGUUAGAUCGCUUUGUCGAAGAAUCUGAAGAUGAGAUUCAUUUGUGGCAAAAUGGUUCUACAUCGAAUUAUAAGAUAAGUUUUUUUUUUCUUACUUUGAUAUAAAUAUGCAUGAUACUGUAUUUGAUAUGCAAAAAAAAACGUAUAUUGGUUGGAAAGAAAAUUUUUGUUAUAUUCAUAUAUGAUCUUGAUAUGGAUAAGGUUAUGAUUGUAUUUUUUAUAAUUGACAUACUUCUCCCAUCAUGGAGAGACACUAAGAAAACUCUUAAACAUAAAAAAAUCUAUUUUGAGGACCUUAAUAAUCAUCUUCGAGUGAAAAAAGCUUGUUGCAACUAAGAUGAAGUCACAAACAAGAUGAGAAGGAUAUAGAUCCUAAAGUAAACCAUCUUAAGUUGAUAAAGGUCCAUGUGAUGGAAGACACAAGGCAUGAACAUGUGGCAUUCUUAUUAUACAUUAAGGUAUAAUGAUGCCAAUAUGUAAAUACAAUAAAGGUCUAUGUGAUAGAUAGGCAUGUGGCAUUCCUAUUAUAUAUGAAGGUAUAAUUGUGUCAAUAUGUAAAUUUAACAUAUUCAUAUAUGGUGCAUUCCUAUUUUAUCAUCGAAGGCACAAUGGUGCAACAUAAAUAUUCAAUAUUUUUGACAAGGCAUUCUUAUUGUAUAAUAAAGUUUCAAUGGUGCUUGUGUGAACAUAUACCUUGAUGUAUUAAUUUGACAUUUCAAUUGUACAUUAAAGUACAAUAGUAUCAAUUGAGAAAAAAAAGAAUACGUGUAAGCUUGUAAAAUCCUUAUAUGGAUUAAAACAAGCACUUAAACAAUGGCAUCAAAGUUUGAUAAGAUUGUGUUAGCUGAUGGCUACAAUAUCAAUCAAUCUGACAAAUGUGUCUAUAGUAAGUUCCAAGUGUCAUCAUUUGUGUAUAUGUGGAUGACAUGUUAAUUUUUGGUACGUUGAAGUAUUAUAAUUACGGAAUACUUUCAAUGGGGGUUACCUAUGUGAAUGGAAGUGUGGCCACUUCUAGGAGUUAAAGGCUUAACUCCAAUAGUACUCAUGAAUGGAUGCAAAAUACAAAGUCAUAAAAAAUGUGUUGGCAAAACUAGAUACAAAGUGAGCAAAGAAGCUUAUGUGUGUUUAGUGGCCUGACUAGUCAAAUGAAGAAUCGAUGGUUCAAUGCGUCAACCACUCAAUUCAAGCUAGAACCAACCAUACUCAUUAAGUGAAGGUUCAAAUCUACGGGAUAUUGUCAUUUAUGCAUAAGAUUCCCUAUACAUGUUAUGGGUUUAUUAAGAACUUUUGUUAAACUUUAUCUUACACAUUACGGGAACCAAGCUUUAUUUACCUCGGGAUGGAAAAUAUAAAUUAGUACUUGCAAUCACCAUGUGGUAGAAUAGUCAGUACCCAAGACUUGUAGAUUGGUCGUAAGCAUCACGGUGAGCUCCCACCAUUGGAGAUUUAGUUGAUAGGCUUGAGACCAUCCCUUUUGAGGUCUUUAUUACCAAGUCUUUUUUCAAACUUUUAGUAAAUGAAUCUGUUAAAUUUUCACAAGACCUUACAUAACUUAUAGUGACUAUAUCAUCACUAAUUCGUUGUCUUAUAAUGCUAUGUCGAAGUCUAAUACAUUGAUUCUUUCCAUUGUAUGCUUGAUUAUAUGCCUUUUAUACCUUUGCUUCAUUGUCACAAUGUAUCAAGAUUGGUGUUAUUGGUUCAAGCCAUAAUGGAAUUUCGUAAAAUAAAUCUUUCAACCAUUCCAUUUCUUGGGUGGCAAAUGCUAAGGGUAUAAAUUCAGCUGUCAUGGUAUAGUUCACUUGAUAAGAUUGUUUCUUAAAACUAAAAAAAACAACACCCCCACCAAUUGUAAAAAUCCAACCAGUCGUAGAGGUAUGAUCCAUUCUAUUUGAGUUCUAACUAGCAUCUUUAUACCCUUAUAAAAUCGAAGGAAAACCUAAAUAACAAAUGCCACAAUUCAUUUUAUUCUUUAAGUACUUUAAAACUUUAUGAACAAUAUACCAACGUUCUCUACUUGAAUUACUUGUAAAUCGACUUAGCAUCUCAACCACAAAUGCAAUAUCUGACCUUGUAUACAUCAUUGCAUACAUUAGACAUCAAAUCACCUAGCAUAUUCAUUUUGUAUUAUUGCCUUUUGUUUUUGGGGUACUAGCCUUAUAUUAGAAUCAUAAAGCAUAAACAUUGGCGUAGAAUCUGACUUACCAUACUUCAUUACUUUUUCCGAAUGUAAUGAGAUUGAGACAAUGUUAUGCAAUUAUUGUCUCUCAUUAUUCUUAUACCAAGAUUAAUAUUUGCCACACCGAUAUCUUUCAUGUCAAAAUUCUUUGACAGAAACCUUUUUGUGUCUUCCAUUUGUUGCAAAAGUUGUUGGUAUAUAAAAAUUUUGAAAAUGGUGUGGAGGAUUGUUAGUGUAUUUUCAAAUAAAAGGUUAUGUCACAUAAUGAAAACCUAUCUUAACUCAAAGAUUAUAUCACAAAGAGUGACAAAGCGUGACUAUUGAAUUGUAGGUGGGUUUUAUAAUCUGAAUAGUUAUGUCUUUUGAUAGAGUGACACACUGGAAAAACACCUUUGAAUCCAAAGCAUAUAAAACAAUUGAAAAAACACCAUAGCUCAAAAGUUUGGAUACGAAAAGUUAUCUUUUCAUAUUAUAACUCAAAGAUUAUGUCUUAUGGAAUGAAUGGUUGUCUUUUUAUAAGGUGAUUAUUGAAACAAUAUCUUUAUCUAAAGAUUAUGUUUUACAAAAUGUAAAGAUAUUUUUAAGAUAAAGAGGUGCCUUGAUGAAAGGGUAGUGUCCUUGAAAAAGAGACACUUGCAAGCCUAUAUAAAGUAUUUGUCGCCAACCAUUUUGACACACCAAAAACAAAUAAAAUAUUAACAGAAAAAUCAAUAACAAUACAAGUGUUAUGUUUUGAAAUUAAAUAUAAACACUUGAGUUCCCAUCAUUUAUCAAAAGAAUCUAAAUUUUUUAUAAUUUACUUGCUGCAGAAAGUAGGCUUUAAGGCUAAACAACUUUGCAAACCUUCAAAUGUAUCUAGCGAACUGCUCUCAUAAGGUGUAAGACAAAAUUAGACGCUGACUUCAUUGUAUCCUUAAGACUAUUCACAUUAUUUUUCUUUGCAUACCGAAUGGUAGAAGCGAAAUAAGUCUUAAAGAUAGCAUCUAUUCAAAAGAUUCACAUUGAAGUCAAUUUUAUCGAUUCGUUGAAUUUCAUCGAAACCUUAUUUGCACCAACAGAUAUUUGAAUAUUUUAAAAAUAUUUGUAAUUUAAAGUAAUUUUACUCAUCAAAUAUAAAAGUUUAUCUUCUUUUAUGUGUAUGUGAAAAUCUACCUCUUGUAACAAAACGUGGUCUUUUAUUCAGUAACUUUAUUAAACCUCAAUAGCACAAAAUAUUUUGUAUAGUGCCAAAACUUUUAUGUGUUUUAAUCAUAUAUUUUUUGGUGAAAAUUUAGCCUGCAAUUGAUCAUAGGUUUCCACUAUUAGAAAGCACUAGAAAAAACACCACGCUUUGUUGCGGGUCUAUAAAUAUUUUUUAAAUAAUUGGUGUAAAAAAUUUUGUAAAACAGAAAAAUACAACACAAAUUGUUUUAAUAUUUAAUUUUUAGUCAAAAUAAAAAAAUCUUAUAAUAAACUUAAUAUUAUUCUAAAAAAUAAAAAAAAUUAUAUUUAUAAAAAAUCAAGUUUUCAUCAUCAUUGCCUUUUCUUUUGCAAGGAAAUUAAUGAUAAUGUAAAAUCAUGUUAAAUUCUAAUUCUGUCCCAAUUGUUGCAUCAUUGUAUGUUGUGAUUGAUUUCACAACAUUAUUAGUUUUUGUAGAAAAGCUAAGUUGGCUUUGUCAUAACUAGAAAGUAUGAAAAUUCAAUUUUGAAACUUAACAUUGAGUUUAUUGCAUCAAUAAAUAGAAAAAAAUAAUUAAUUUUUUUUCACAUCAUUAACUCCAAUACUGUGAUCCAACCAUGAUGCAAAAUAAAUAUAAACCCCUUUUGAUUGAGAACGGUCUUGGUCUAGCCAAUAUCUUAUAAAAUAUAACAAAUAUUAUGGUUUAUAACAUAUAUGUUAUGAAACUGAAAAAAAAAAAAAUCACAACAACAAAUUUAAUCUCUCAAUGAGACAAAUAAUGAUAAUUAUCAUGACAAAAAAAAUUCAAAUCUGAAUUACAUCAGCAAAUACCAGCUACAAAAAGAGAGGAAAGGAAAAGGUGAAAAAAUUCAUCACUAAUUACUCACAAAUUUUACUGUAAGUGUUAAAAACAUUAGACAACAAAGAAGUAAAAUAGUGCAAAAUGAAUCACAUCACCCCUGCUUCAGCUUUAAUCACAACGAUUUCCCAUCAUCCUCAGAGAAUGUUCAACAAAUUCUUAAUGAAAUAAACCUAGGCGAUAGCUUGAGAUUGCAACAUUUGUCGUUCUUUCAAUAACGUCCCCUUGUUCUUCCUCCAUGUUUAUAAGAACACAUGAAAUAGAAAAAGAGUUGAAAUAUUUCAAAGAAAAGUGAUACAUUGAUUAUAACCAAGAUAAUUUUUUUUAUCUAAUUGGAAUAAAAAACUAAUAAAUCAAAAGAAGAAUUUUUAUAACAACUUAAGUAUAGUUUGUAGCUACCAUACCCAAAACUUCAUUUUGGUGACCACCAACUCGAAUGAAUAUCAAAAUGCAUAUUUCAGUAUGAAUAUUCCACAGCUGAACUAAUUCAUCUUACUUAAAUUUUAAAUUUAAACAUUUAAUAAAACAGUAAUCAAGUAAAUGCAAUAAUGCUUACUUGUUGACACUAUAAGUGGUGGCUUUAAUGAUUGAGUCUUGAUUUCAUUUAUGAAAUUCCCAUGAAGAGCAAAACUCUGUAAAUACACAUGCAUGAAGAGGUUAAAAUGAAAAAACUCAGGGUAAAAAAAAUGCAUAAAACUAUAGAUGCUAAAAUCGUUCACCUGUAUGCCACAAAAAAUGUAAGCAUAAUCAGUAACUAUAAAUCAGAAUAAACAUAAAAACAGAGAAAAAAAAUAAGAGAAACAUGAAACCAUUUACAUCGUUAUGAAAGAAUCAAAAUAUUGAGAAAUGAAAAGACAAAAUAGGGAUAUACUGAAACUUGUCACUGCUAAAGAAGGCACCAAAGUCUGAUAACAACAACCAAAAUGCACCGAAUCUAACCCACACAUGUUAAUAAAAAAUCACUAAAAAAUUUAUGAGUAAUAAAACUAAAAUAUCCAAAGAAAAAAACAAAUCCACAAAUGUAAAACAUUUGCAAGGCUUAAAACUCUAACCAAACAGUGCCGGAGAAAUGUAAAAACGAAAGAGGCGACAAAACCAAAGAGACAUCAAAGAAAGACACCAAAAUCAAACAAUCUCAAAACUUAAACCACCUGAAGAACCCAAAAUGUAUAAAACAGAUACAAAAACCAAGAAAAAUGCAAGGAAUUGAAACCAACACAAAUAUAGGGAAAACACAUCCAAACCAAAAGAUUUGAAAAUCUGAACCGGUUGAAAAAGUAAAAAGACUGCACAACUCAAAAAAUGUAACAAAUCCAAAUCAAUAGAAAAUAAUGGAUAAAAGAACAGAAGAGACGCCACAAUCGAAGAGAAGAAACCAAAAUACCAUAGUGAAGCAAACCAAAGAGGUAGAGAGAAAGAAAAUAAGAAAAAAAUAGUAGAAAACCAAACAUGAGAGAGGAAAAGGCGAAUAGAAAGAAAAAAAGAACAGAUGAGAGAAACGUGAGAAUGAAAAAUAAGAAUGGGAGAGUGAAAGAUAUGUAUGAAACAAACAAUAAAACCAAAGUGAUAGAAAGAGGAAGGGAAGCUUCUAGAUGGUAGGGAAAAACUUGAAAUGCCCCUUCUCUUUCAAUCAAAAACCCAAGAAACCCUUCCUUUACAAAUAAAAAAAAUUCCUAAUUUAUACACAAAUUCUCGAAUGAUACCAGUCUCUUGACUGAAACUCCAAAAUAUCAUCCAUACAGAAACAAAUUACAAUGCCACAUGUCAACCCUUGAAAAUCCUUUGUACAUAAAAAUCAUAAUAUUUAAAAAUAAUAUUUAGCCACUGUCAUUCAAAGAAGGUCAUAAUGUGGUUCAACUUGAAAGCUCAUUUGGGUCUUCCUUUUAUAUUAUGUUAUAGAUAUUUGCAUUAGGGUAGCAGGGUAGCAGUCACAUCCAGCCGACACUAUAGGAUGGGAAAUUCGAACUGUAAUUCGAUUGGGACAAGCAUUGCCCUCUAUGGGGUUUAAAGAAACAUAAUUCCUUUCCUUUGGACACUUGUGCACGGUAUAUUUUGUGCAUUAUAUUACUCGUAUAUAUGGAAUAUCCUACUCCCACAAGCCAUGUUCUGCGAGGCUGCCAAAUUCAGGGUGCAUUGCUUCUUGAAAACAUGAUUGAAAUCAGACAUGGACUAAUUAAUAGGUAGGGCAAGACAAGGAUUGGACGGCUUAGCUCAAAUUUCUACCAUCCUUGGUGAUCUAGAAGAAGGUUUGGUAAACAUUAGCUUUUAUCUGGGUUUAGUUUGAUCUAGUACUAGCUGUUAAAUUACCCGAAUGCUAUCUGAAAACUACUCCCUAGAUGCAAAAAUACUCCUACUCCUAGCCACGAUUCAAUAUGAAAACACUCUCAGCCACAAGUCCUUGAUCUAGACUCAUAAACUGACCAGGUAUGGUUUGGGAGACACCAGCCUGUAAUAGCCCAGCUAACACAAUAUUUUACAUUAUUAGUGACGAGCAACACGACUGAUUGAUUAGCUCAAGUGUCGAUUGGUCCACUUUGAUUUGCUAAGCAUUUUCUAUUUGUUGGCAUCUGAGAUAACCACCAUGCCUCGUUAAAUAAUAGUAGCAAUAAGCAACCACCGUUAAUCAAUCAAAUUUCACAAGUUUAGAAACACACAGCAACCUUUUUAAACUGUUUUCUUAAACCCAUUAUUUUGUUGCAUUAACAGAGUGGUUUUGUCUUGUUCAAGAGUCUAGCCAGCUCAUUCCAGCAGAGUUCCACUCCCCACAUCUUAUCCCAUAAAAUCCCCAUUGGCUCCCCUUCACAUUCACAACAUCUCCAACACAAGCAAAUCAUGGCUUCAGCUACUGUUUCUUCCAUUCCCCUCACUCUGUCUGCUCUCUUCCUACUUUUCACUUCUACAGCCUUAGCACAGACAGCUCCCGCCCCUGCCCCCCCUGGCCCCUUAAACUUCACUGGAAUCCUUGAUAAAAAUGGCCAAUACACCUACUUCCUUCGCCUUUUAGCAGAGUCUCAAGUCGGCAGCCAAAUACAAAAUCAGCUCAACAGCACCACCGAAGGCUUUACCGUUCUUGCUCCCACAGAUAAUGCCUUUAACAACCUCAAAGCUGGUACAAUCAACAGUCUCGACGAGCAAAAAAAAGUACAACUAGUUUUGUUCCACGUUCUGCCAAAAUACUACUCUUUGAACGACCUUCAAUUUGUUAGCAACCCAGUUAGAACCCAAGCUACUGGUCAAGAUGGUGGGGUUUACGGGCUCAACUUCACUGGCCAGAACAACCAGGUUAAUGUGUCAACCGGGGUAGUUGAGACGCAGAUUAACAAUGCACUAACUCAGCAGAAACCUCUGGCAAUUUAUCAAGUGGACAAGGUGCUGUUGCCCGCAGAGUUUUUUGAAGCUAAAUCGCCAGCUGAAGCUCCUUCACCGGCAACAAAGAAAUCAUCAUCAGGGUCCAACUCUAACUCAACCGCAUCAACCGCUGAUGAGCCAGACUCUGCUGAUAAUUCAGGUUCAAGUGGGAGGAAUAUGGGGCUGGGCUUGGUUGUGGGGCUUGCGUUGGCUUGCAUGGGGGCUCUCUCUUGACCAGAUAUGAAGUUUGUAUUUUGUGGAGUCGGCAUUUUUUCACAUUUUCUUCCUUUUUCAAACGGAUAAGUGUCUAUUGGGGCUUUGAACAGAGACUUCUCAUCCACAUUAUAUGUAUUACUUUCAUUUUUGUUGAUUUGCUUGUGCAUUUGCUUGGUUGUUUCAGAAAAUGCUUUAGCCUCUCCAUUUGAUCUCUUCCCUUGUAUAUAUUUCUCUUUCUCUAAUGUUAUUUUCAUGAACAAUUAUGUGAGAGAAUAAGGAGCAGCGAGAAGUUCAAAUUAUCAGCUAGCAGGAACGAGAUUUGGAGAAUGAUAAACACAAAUGUCACCGUAUAAUACUAAUUCUGAUUUCUGAACGUGGUUGCCACCUCAUUCUGCAAUACUAUAUCAACUAGUUGAUGACCUUAAAAGUGAAUGAUCGCCCAAAUCUCAACUGAAUCAUUCUCAAGGUCAACUUUAGUUUAGUAAUUCAACACUGUGUGUUUAACACUACAUCAAACCAAAUGCUCUAUUUCUUUCUCUAUUAUUAAUUUAGUGUUACUACAUCAGUGUCCCCUCACAUGUCCUUAUUUAAGUUUUGAUCACGGCAGGACAAAGUCCAAGGAGUGUAUAUAUAUAUACACCCUUAGCAUUUCUCUUCUCCAUAUGUGGAUUUAAAAAAAAAUAGAAUGUUUUGAAUCAAUGUCCUUUCUUAUGGUCUUCUCAUUUUGCAGGUUACACAUUAUUAAACUUUUUAAUAAAUUAAGCGAAAUUUUGUAAAAUUUUAGUGAACAAAAAUGUAAAGACAACAGAGUUUUAUUAAGAAUGUGCUUCAAAAUAAGAUAAAGAGUAUGACAUUUUGUUAUGUCAAAAGGUCACAUUGCAUGUUGAAUAACUUAUGGAAUGUAUAUAGUAUGUGCGGAAAAAAUUAUGACAUAUUCAUAUGUUGCUCAUCAGAUUUUGUUAGCAUUGAACUGGAGGUGUCUUCUUCUAUUGCUGGACUAAUUUCUCCAAUGCCAUUGCCUGGUUCUGGUUGUCUCCAGCUGCUUCCAAAAGAGAUUUCACCAUCAUAGCUGCCUCCGGUGAUGGUCUUGGGCGUUGCUUUCUCUUUAGAGAUUUCCGAAGUUGGAGUGCUUGUCGUGGAAGGCUGCACAUCAUCUUCUGUAAUCUCAUUGCAAGAAUAGCUUAUGGCUGAGAUUGGAUGUUCAUUCUUUGCAGCCAUGACUAAUGCAUUAAUGGUGUCAGGAAGUGAGGAGUUUGGUGAGUUUUUGGUUGAAGUAGAUUCGUCCCUGGAAAGACUGACUUUUGCUUUAUGGUGCCAAUGCUUCAGGCCUCUGACUACACUUUCUGUGAAUAUUGCGCUGUUCAUGCUAGAACCCAUCUGCAAGAGUAAUUUGUCCCAGAAGGGGGGAAAUAAUUAUAACCAUACUUGAAUCAUGCAUAAUAGCAUCCUAAACCCAAUACAUUAUUAGUCCCACUGGAUGGCUGUUUUGGAUUAGAGAUUACAAAGCACACAUAUUAGGCUAUCCUUCCAUAACCAUGAAGGAAAUUUGUUUCCCUUCUUUUCCUCUGGUUCUAAACAAAUAAAGGAUUUGUUCUGAAGCAUUGCAAUUGUAUGACUAGGUUGUAUUCUGUGUAGCCUUUGCUUAAAGUUCCAGCUGUGGAUUUAAUCUAGGUGCCUAAUUUUUCCAUGCUCAUCAAAUUUUUUUUUGGACCAUCUUAGUCAACUUCCUCUUCCAAGGAAGUUUUUUUUUUUUUUUUUUCUUAUUUGUUAAUAAAAAAUUGAGAUUGAAACAAUUCUUCAAUUUGGGUUGUGGUAGGGUAAUGUACUGAAAGCAUUCUCAGUUCUAGCUCCUAAUUGUGGUCUGUUAUAGUAGUUCGAGACACAUAAAAAUCUCUAAUACCUCCCAUAUUUUGACACAGCAAUGUUCUUGUAUUUGUACCUGGGUGACGAGUGCAUAAAGAGGCAGGGUAAGAUAACCGCAAAGUAACUGCAUAAAUACACCCAUCACAAUCCUUAUGGCAAAGUCCUCCGUUCCUUGAUUGAAGCAAGAUCUAAGCCCAUACUCAUACUGUCAUUGUUAAAGAGGUCAGCUUUGGAUGUCAACAUAUCCUGAUUCCUGAGUUUACCAACUUAAAAUACCUACCAAUGUCCAGGCAAAGAAUGCCAGCUGAAAUGAGUUCUGCAAUCAAGGUCAACAGCCUUUUUCAGGAUCUUAUCACAUUUGUAAAAUUCCAUUUAACUAAUGUUAGGAUAGACACCUCUAUUACCAAAGGAAAGUGCUAACAUUUGCUAAGAAACAGUGUCUUCUCGCAAAAUAUAUCAGCUCCAAACAUUUGGCAUCUGUUACUAUCAAAUUUUUGGUUGCUCAUAAACAAGUUAGUUAUUGAUAUUCUCUACCUGGAUUAGGACGAGCUGAAGGAGAUGGAGGAGCCAUUUAGGUCGACCAAACCAAAAUAACUCAUCACCGGGCUUCACAUGGAAACUCCCUCGAACCACAGAACUAUUCUUGUGACUCUCCACACACAUUUUGGUUAUUAUGACUUGCAGCUUUGUACCAACAAUAAGAAUAAUCUUCAACAGAAAAUGUGAGAGUAGAAUGUAGUUAGUAUCAGACUUUAAUCAUGUCUUUGUAAAGAUAAAAGACAGAUGGGUGGUUGAUCAUACCACUAGAGGAAGAAAUGGUAGCCAAUAAUGGUUAUAAAAUCCUGCAUCAGAACCAAAGUACGACUCUCUUCAAAUAGUACUAGUUAUUUAACUAAAGUUAUAGAAUUUCAAUUUUUUAUCAUAUGAGUAACCCUAACAAAUUCUGAAAUCCAGAAGCCUUACUGUGUGCAUUGAAAAAUAUGAAAAGAAUGCAGAAGAUCCAGAUCCAAAACCUGCAAAAGAGAGUGCCAAGAUUCUCAUUUUCCAAAUUCAAAGUUCAAAAGUUUCUUCUCUAUGGCAAUGUGCAUUCUGCCAAUAAGCAUUCUGAAUGCCUUUCUAGCUCUCACCAAUACCAUUGUCCUUAUCAAAUCUUAAAUUUCUGUAUCAGUGGUAUGUUGAUCAACUAAUUCUUUUGUGAAUCAUUUGUAUGGCAGAGAAAUUUUUACCUGAUUCCAACCACCUGUUCAAAAUCAUUAUCGAAAGCUCUUCCAAGGAACUUCUGGAAGUUGAAAUUACUCCCUUCAGCAACAUUGGCCUGUGGGAUCAAGCAAGAAUAUUUUAGAUGCAGAGUCGUGAAGGAUUCAAUAUAUUAUAUAUAGGAGACUAUCCAAAGAUGAGGCCUGCUCAAAUCUGGUGUGAACUUCAGUUCAGCUCAUGCAAUCUUGGGGGUAUCUAACUCGCUCUUGAUGGUGUAUAUAAAAGCUAAAAGCCCAAAUUUCUGUACAUUUCAUCAUGAAUUUAUUGGCAAUGGGGUCUGGAAGAUCUUAUAUACCAGGAUAAACGCAUUUCGAAGAGUGAAAUAAUCAGCUUUUGAGGCUGAGCCACUGAACUGUCGAAUGAAACAAACCUAAAUCAGAGAGAAAAAUGCAAUGUUAACGGUGCUCAUCAUGAAAGAUUUAUUCUAUUUUAACUACUAUUUCCAACACGAAAAGUCUUUUUUCAGUUUAUCACAUACAUGUGAUUGACAAAAUUCUAGUUUAACUUACUGGCCAAAGCAAGAGAAAGUGAUUGCUCCAUAGUUUCAAAUGUCGUUGCCCAAAAGAUGUUUGACGGGUGAGCCGGAACCUCAUUGGAUCUGUACAGAGUAAGUUUCAGUAAACAUACAAGACAUAAUAUAUAUCAAUGUCCAAUUUCUAUUCCACACACUUCCAUAUUUACACCACAAACUUCAUUUCCCAUCGCAACUCUGGAUGCUGUCUAGAGUUUCAGAGAACUGAAUAUAUAUAUAGAUAUAUAUAUCAGGUAACGACUUCUCACUUGUGUUCUGCAGUUAAGUGAGUAUGUUCUUAUCGUUUCCUCAAGUAUAGGGUGUCUAAUUGUUCAGUAGAUAUCACUUUCAACAUUAGCUAAAUUAGUAGUACUAAAAUGAUAAGAAUUGAAGCCAUGGUUACAUAAUGCAAAAUGCCAAAUUAACUGCAUAGGCCUUAAACUUGGUUCUUUCAUGGUAUGAAAAGCUUGUGAACUUUUUGAUUGAAUUGAGGAAUGCAAGUAUAAGCUACCAUUAGCAAUCUGAUAUUCCAGGGUUCUAGUCUCUUCCUCCCAUGUUUUCCAUCUCUUCAUCUGUUUCACAAAAAAUUUAUUAAAAUGUCAAUACUAUAAAUGGGAAGCUUAAACUAUCUAAACCAUCAACUUCUAUCCCCAAAGAAAAGUCAGCAAAUUAACUUGAAGAGGCAACAAGUAUGCUCAGAUUUUCUGCACAUUUUUCCAAGGAACUGGUAGCCUUGCUUAUUAUAUUAUAACCUUUAUUUAUUGUUUGACACGGCAUCUCGUCACCAAGAUCUUUUUGAAUUGAUUUAUAGUCUUUGACUCUGAGGAUGACAAAAUGCUCAUACAUUCCAAUCUAACAAUAAAAGAAACUAAACAUUUAUCAACUCAUGCUGGACCAGAAAAAAUAAUUAUCUGCACACCCCAAAUAUUUUCUUUUCCAAGAACGACCAAAAGACAAAAGACUAGAGAGUCCCCGAAAUUGAGCUUCCACAACCUGGGAACCAAGACCAAAUAGGUUUAUUGUUUUUGAAGCAUUGCCUAAUAUUUCUACAGUUGCGUGACACAGAUCAACUGGCUCGGCAGCUGGUUUGAAAAUUAAGCAAAGAUGAAUAGUAUUCAGGUUUGUAGCACAGCAACUAAAACUAAUAGAGGCAAAACAAUUAAUCACCCAAGGAAAAGAUUACGUUUGGAACCUUGACUAGCCCGAGAGACAUUGUUAACACGCAAUAAAGAAUGUGAAACACUGCCAAAACUGAGAUGAAGAUGUUUAGCUGCAUGACUCCUUCCCUUGAGAUCAGUGACACCAUUCCCUGUACCAUUGUCAACCAACAAACAGGUAUUAGUCCAUGAUAACCUUGGAUGAACAAGCGAUUACUGAUUCAAAAGUCGAAAGAACCACAACUUUCAACUACAGUCCUUCAACAUUUCUCACCUUUGCCUCGCAGUAGGAUUCUUGUUCAUCAUACUCAACAGAAAGAGUUGUACUUGAUUCUGAUGAGCCUGGAAUUUGAUUUUCAGUUGAAAGAGCCGGUUCAAUGAACUCCUCAGGAUCUUUGCAUGGAAGAAGGGAGUUCGCUAUGGCUUCAGUCACACAAAUUUUUGAAAUGGGUGCUUCUGAUAUUGCAAGAAGAAAAGAUAUGAACCCCAUUUUCAUCAUUUCUGUCGCAAAUGUUGAGUCGAAUUGCAAAAAAAAAAAAAUUAUAUCAAAACACAUGAAUAUUUUGCCUAUGCAAGAAGUUUCCAAGGAUAGAAGAGAAACAGACCACAAAUAAUAUAUAUAUAUAUAUAUAUAUAUAUAUAUAUAUAUAUAAAUAUAAAUGCAGACUCUAUUGCGAGUUUAGGAGUGUACCACUACCAACCUGUUUUGAUCUUUGCUAAAGCUCUGUAGAGGGAUUUUCUUUUCCUUCUUUUUAAAAGCUGAAUGAUACAAACACUAUCAUCAGAUAAAACAUUUAUCAAUAUUCGUCAAUUAAUUCGAUCAACUUAUGAAAAAAGCAGGGUUACCUUGGUUAAGUAAUGAAGAACAGUCUCAAUGGUGAAAGAAAUGAGAGAGAUAAACAAACAAACAAGCGAAACAGCCCAGGUUGGUGUAUGUUCAAGUGAAUUUCCUCUGUCCAUAUCUCUAAUAAUUUUGACUACCAAUCAAGAACAAGGAGAGAGAAGACUGAUACGUCCUUGCAUUUAUAGCUUAAUUAGUGAGGGAUGACUAUAGUAACAAAAAAAAAAAGAUUGAGAGCAAUUUGUCAAGCAGACUAAGUCCAAACAUGCAUAUAGUUGUCUAAUUGUUAUAUCUGCGUACAGUGAAGGGAACUGGCUUCUUGUUGAAAAUUUCUGCGAUCAUCACAUCGUGGAUUCAGCAUUAUGUCAGCAUAUGCCACGUGCAAAGCCAAAGACGGCAUUAAGAAAAAACAAAGGGGGAAGAAGCUGGAGGACUGGAGGAGGCAAUAUUUCUACUUUUUUUUUUUUUGGAANUGGGAUCAAACACUGUAUAAAAUUUAUCCUUGAAAAGAAGAGCAUAAUGAGACUCAAUAAGCUGUCUAACACUGAGCAAAUUUUGGUUAGCCUUAGGGACAAAAAAGACAUUAGAAAUAUACUUAUUACCUGACUAAGUUUCAACCAUAACAGUCCUUAUACCAAGUAUCUUCAAAAAGGUCUAUUACCAAUCUCUACUUUGGACCUAUAACUCUUGUCCAAGGUAGAAAACUAACUCUCAUCACCAGUUAGGUGUUUGAGCAGACACUAUCAAUCAACCACAAAUUCUUCUUGACUGAAUAUUCGACUUCUUUAGCCAUGAAUAACAUCUCCUAAAAUUCUUCAACUUGUUUAACUAGUGCAGCCUUUUCAUUAGCUUUAGAACCUUUGUUUUUGCAGACUUUUUCAAAAUGACCAAGUUGGUUAUAAACCCUACAUUUUACAUUGGGUUUGUACUAACAAAAUUUUACCGAAUGUGUGGUUUUCUUGUAGUGAGGACUGGGUUGAUACUUUUGCUUCUGUUUUCCAAAUUUUCCAUCAGUUACUUUCUUAUCCUUAUCGUUCCUAACAACUUCAUUCUUCCUUGUGCUACUACUGCUCACUUUGAGAUUCCUAGUUUGAGCUACCAAGGCACUGUCAACUAUACUUUUUUGCCUAAAUGCUCUUCUCUAUUCAAGGCCCUCCGGAGCAUUUACCAGCUCUUUCAAAGUCAACUGAGCAAUGUCCUUGGAAUCUUUUCAGGAAAAAACCUUGGAUUCAUGCCUUUCUGAAAGGUUCAGCAGCAUCUUAUGUGUCAACCUUUCCUCAGUCAUAGCCUUACCCAACAACCCCAAUUGAUUCACUAUACUCAUCAUUUUCCCAAAAAACUUCUUAAUAGUUUCAUCAUCUUCCAUCCUUAACAUCUCAAAUUGUCUAAAUAAAUUCAAUGAUUGAAUUGUUAUAUUUCUAGUCUUUAACAGAGAGCAAGUUGUCAAAGAUACUCUGUUAUAAAACUAAAACAGAAAGGCUUUCAAAACUUGAAAGAAAGACUAUCGAUGGUUACAAGAAACUGCAAGUCUGCUUCAUUGAUCAGAUUAAAGUACAAGUUAAAUAUGCAGUAGGCAUAAUUAGCACUUGUAACAUACUAUAGACACAGGUGUUAUGGCAUAAAGACAACAAACUCAUGCAGCUAUACACGUAGGAGAUGGAAUUAGUAGAAAACAUGCAUGACUAAUGACCACUACAAUGAAGCAAAGUAUAACAAAAGCUUGACAAGUGUACAUUAUCAUGCAAGUAUUAACUUAACACUCCUCCUUAAUACUUACAUAUACACUGAGUUUGCUUCUAAGACUCUCAAAUUUUGGCUUUGGCAGUGUCUUGGUCAUUAUAUCAGCUAGUUGCCUAUCAGAAUUGCAAUGGUGGAAGACGACAUCUCCAUUCUUUUCAGCAUCACGAAUGGCAUGGGAUUUAAUCCUAAUGUGCUUUGUCUUCCCAUGAUACACAGGAUUUUUUAUGAUGGCAAUUGCUGACUUGUUGUCAAUGAACAUGUUAGUUGCUUGAGUCUGAGGAAAAUACAAGUCAUCAAGUAGUUUUCUCAACCAAACAGCCUGGUUUGAAGCUUCAGCAGCUGAAAUAUAUUCAGCUUCACAUGAGGACUGAGCAACCACUGAUUGCUUGUGGGAAUUCCAUGAGAAUACUCCAUUUCCAAGUGUAAACACAUAGCCAGAAGUACUUUUAGAGUCAUCUAAGUUUCCUCCCCAAUCACUAUCUGAGAAACCAGUGAGUUUGAAGUCUUGCUUUCUUGUGAAAUGAAUUUCAUAAUCCAAGGUUCCUUUAAGAUACCUUACAAUUCAUUUACCAGCAGCAUGGUGCAAUCUCCUACAUAAACCUUGAAAGAAAACUCAAAGAGGACAUGAUAUAAGGUCUUGAGGAACAUACAUAAAGAAGGCUUCCAAUUAAGCUUCUAUAAAUUGAUGGAUUUUGAAGCUGAAUUCCACUGUCAAUUAUGAGUUUGUCAUUCACAACCAAAGGAGUUAAAAUAGGCUUGCAUUGGCUUAUUCCAAAUCUCUUCAACAUUUCAUAGACAUAGUUUCUUCGUGACAACUGAAUGCCUUCAACUAAUUGUGUGAUUUGCAGUCCAACAAAAUAGCUUAUUGGACCAAAGUCUGUCAUAUCGAAUUCAUCUUGCAUUUCCUUCCUGAAUUUAUCCAAGGCAGCAUCAUCUCUUCUAGUAACCAAAAGGUCAUCAACAUAUAAGGAGACAAUUAGUUGCUGAUCUUUGGUACUCAAAAUGAAGAGAGUAGCUUCAUUACAACUUUUCACAAAGCCUUGCUUGGAUAAAUAACUAUCAAUUCUGCUGUACCAGCUUCUGGGAGCCUGCUUUAAGCCGUAUAAAGCUUUGUGAAGCUUGUAGACUUUGUCUUGAUCAGCUAACAACUUGAACCCUUCAGGCUGCUCAGCAUAAAUUUCUUCUUCAAGUACUCCAUUCAAGAAGGCAGAUUUGACAUCUAAAUGAUGCACCUUUCAACCCACAGCAGCAGAUAAAGCAAGCAGUAAACGAAUUGUAUCAUAGCGAGCAACAGGAGCAUAAGUUUCAGUAUAAUCCAAACCUGGUAUUUGACUGAACCCUUUCACGACUAAGCGAGCUUUGUUCUUGUUUAAGCUCCCAUCAGGAUUUAGUUUCCUCUUAUACACCCACUUGACUGGAAGAACAUGUUGGUUUGAUGGUCUGUCAACCAAGCUCCAAGUUUGAUUUUUGUUAAUCACUUCCAGUUCAUCAAACAUAGCAUUUAUCCACUCAGGAUGUUGCAUGGCCUCUGCAAAUGUGUUUGGCUCUGCUAUGGCCACAAAGCUACUAUGAUAAAUAUCAUAAAUGGACCGUGACCUUUUCACAGGCUCAUCAUCAAUGUUAUCAUCAGAAAUUGGUUCAUCAGCAACCACAUCAUUUUCAUGCACAUCUGUAUUCACAAAGAUAGGAGCAGGCACCUGAUUAUUGGCAGUAGUUUGUGUGUUCCAAUUCCAGUUGGAAGCUUCAUCAAAUGUAACAUUUCUGCUAAUAAUUAUUCUGUCAUUUUUUGGUAGAUAAAUUUGAUAGGCCUUUGACUGUGUGCUGUAGCCUAUGAAAAUACCCUUGUGAGCUUUUGGUUGAAGCUUAUCACGCUGUGUGUCUGGCACAUGACAGUAGCAAAUGCUCCCAAAUAUUCGAAGAUGAUCAACAGAUGGUCUAAAGCCAUACCAAGCUUCAAAUGGAGUUUUGUUCAUUAAGGCUUUAGUAGGAAGCAAGUUGAGCAGAUAUACUGCUGUGCUAGCAGCUUCAGCCCAAAAUUUCUUGGGCAGAUUCUUCUCGAACAACAAACAUCUGCACAUUUCAAGUAUUGUUCUAUUCUUUCUCUCAGAAACACCAUUCUGUUGAGGAGAGUAUGGUGCAGUGAGUUGAUGAGAAAUUCCAGUACUCAGGAGAAAUUCAUAAAACUCAUUCGAGGUAUAUUCACCUCCAUUAUCAGACCUCAAGGUCUUUAUCUUGCAACCUGUCUCAAGCUCUACUUUGGCCUUAAACUUCAAGAACAUUUCAAAUACUUCAGAUUUUGCUUUCAGGAAAUAAAUCCAACAAAAUCUAGACAUAUCAUCAAUGAAUAUUAAGUAGAACCUACUGCCAACCAAUGACUCAACUUUCAUAGGACCUGCUACAUCAGUAUGAACCAAUUCAAGCUUGAUUCUCGCUCGAUUCCUACUGGCUGGAGGAUAGGGCUUCCUUGACAACUUCCCAAAUUGACAUGCACUGCAAACUGGACCUUUGUUAGACAAUUUAGGUAAGUUAUCAAGUAAACCAGCGAAACUUACUUGAUUAAGAGAGGGAUAGUUGCAGUGCCCAAGCCGCUUAUGCCAUAAGUUUGUCUCAUCAACAACUGUGGUUGCUUGCAUGCAGGAAUCAUUCCAAUUUAGGGAGAAGAUUCUGUUUCUCAUUAGAAUAGUCAUCAAAUAAUCACCUGUGGGUUCAUAGAUAGUACAUGCAGAAUCUUGAAACAAUAAAACAUAAGAGUUUUCCACCAUUUGUCCAACACUCAACAGAUUUUGAGUGAUGGUUGGAACUAAAAGAACCUCAGAGAUGUGCUUGGUGCCAGAACAAGCUUGCACACUGACUGUCCCUUUUCCUACCGCAUGUAGGUAAAGCCCGUUGCCUAUUUUAACUUGUGAGCUAUAAUUCUUGUCCAAAUCAACAAACAUAGCUUCAAAAGGAGUCAUAUGAUUGGAGCAUCCACUAUCGAGCAGCCAUUGAAGAUUAUCAACUUGAUGAGAAUUUGUCAGUGCCAUAAACAAUGUUUCUUCAGCCAUUACAGCUUUUUUAGUCUCCUUUGCUGGUUUUUCUAGUGCAGUUUGUUUGUUCUUACAAACUUUCUCCAUGUGACCAACUUCACUGCAAGCUUUGCAUUUAGCAUCUGGCCUAAACCAGCAGUGUUCUUCUGCAUGGUUCCGUUUCUUGCAAUAAGAACACAUUUUAAACUUGUUUGUUUUGCUGGAUGAAUGACUUGGUUGGUAAGGCUUUUUAUCUUUCUCUUUGAAAUUUUUCUUAGAGCCAGAAUCAAUGUUGCCUUUCCCUUUGUGUUUAGCAACUAAUGCACCCUCCACAGUAGCAUCUUGACGUGCAAUUCUCCUCUGUUCAUAAGCUUCAAGUGCACUCACUAGCUCAGUAACAAUGAGUUGAGUCAAGUCUUUAGUUUGCUCUAAAGAGGACACUGUUGCUUCAAAUUUUUCUGGAACAUUGUUAAGAAUUUUUUCAACAAUCCGUACCUCUUGCAAGUCUUCACCUAGCAUGCGAAUCUGAUUUACCAGACGCAUAACUCGAUCAGUAUAAUCCAUGACAGAUUGAUUGUCUUUCAUUCUGAGAAGCUCAAACUCUCUUCGAAGAUUUUGAGCUCGCAUUUGUUUUGUUCUUGCAGAGCCCUGAAACUCCUCCUGGAGUUUGUUCCAUGCUUGCUUUGCAGUCUUGCAACCCAUGAUUCUGCUAAAUAUUGUCUCAGACACAGCUGCAUGGAUGAAGGACAAAGCCCUGUAUCGCUUUGCUACCUCUUCAGAAUACUGUUUUAUCUGAGUAAUUGUUGCAUUAUCUCUCAACGCAAGUGGCUCUUCCUCAGAUUCUAUGGCAUUCCAGAGGUCAUAUCCUCUGAGAUAGGCCUCCAUCUUAAUGGCCCACACUGAGUAAUUUUUGCCAUCAAAGAUUGGUGGAGAUGGGUGAGAAACAGUGGGAGUCGACAUAUUACUGAAGGUUGAGAAAUUUGAAGAAUGGUGGCUUGACUUUAGAUGUAUGGUGGUUUUUUUUUUUUUUGGUAUUUCAGGUCCAACUGAGAUCUUAUAUUUGCAAGAGCUCUGAUACCAUGAUAUAUUUCUAUUCUAUAAGAGAGAACCAGAUGACAAAGAUGCUCUGUUAUAGAACUAAAACAGAAAGGCUUACAAAACUUGAAAGAAAAACUAUCGAUGGUUACAAGAAACUGCAAGUAUGCUUCAUUGAUCAGAUUAAAGUACAAGUUAAAUAUGCAGCAGGAAUGAUUAACACUUGUAACAUACUAUAGACACAGGUGUUAUGGCAUAAAGACAACAAACUCAUGCAGCUAUACACGUAGGUGAUGGAAUUAGUAGAAAACAUGCAUGAUUAAUGACCACUACAAUGAAGCAAGGUAUAACAAAAGCUUGACAAGUGUGCAUUAUCAUGCAAGUAUUAACUUAACAAUGCCAAUGUUGUUCCUAAUAAGAGUUUAAUGGCAUUUGAAGUGAACUUCAUUUUCCAAGGGACUUUGGUGUUGUCCUUGACCCAAAGGAUGACAUCGGUAGAACCUCCAGCUGGUGGUUAGAUGCCCAUGGUGAAGCAAAAAAGAAGUUAAGUCCCUGAUGGAUGGCUUGAAGUUCAGCAAAGUUGGAGUCUUCAAUGCCUAUGUGGUGAGAGAAGGUUCCUCUUAUGAAAUCGUGGUGGUCACGAAGAAGUCCGCCAAUGCCAAUGGGCCCUAGCUUCCCUUUUGCAGCUCCAUCAAUGUUAAGUUUAAGGGUGCCGAGUGGAAGUGGUUCCCAUAUGACAUUCGUCCUUUGCCUUGCUUUCACUGCAUUGUUAGAGAAGGUAGUGGGUUGAAAGAAACAAGUGUCAGUUGGAAUGUGCCCUAAGUUCCAUCUGCCUUUGCACCAUAAAGAAUGUCAGAGGACAAUGAUGUCCACAAUCUGUUUGGAGUUAAAAGUCUUCCCUCUGAAAAUAUUUUUGUUUCGACACAGCCAAAUGGUCCACUGAGAUGCAAAGAAGAGCAUUUUUCAAGAGUCUCUUUUUUGAGAAGGGCAAAGGUAUAACAUCCAUGCAGUGAAGAAUGAAGUGGGACUGCUUGGAGCAACCCAUUAGAUAUUCCAUUUGCUAUAACAUUCAACCCAAGUUUCCCAGGCAGUUACACAAUUAAAGAGAAGAUGAAAAGGGAUUUCAGGGAAAGACUUACAAAAGGUGCACAUGGCUGCAUCACUACUAAUGAUACCUCUGUCCAUCAAGAUUGCCUUGGCUGCCAAUUUCGCAUGGAGAACCUGCCAACAGAAUGUUUCAGCUUUGGGAUGAGCUAACCCGAUCCAUAAGAGCUUCCAAAGGUUGUCUGGUCCAUUUUGGGAAUCAUAGAAGGCUCUACAAAAGGUUGGCUUCCGAAUGAUGAAGUCCUUAUCAGAGGGAUGAGGAUGGGUGCUUUGGAGAAGGGUUUGAGAUCUGUCCAUUGUUUAGUUUCCCAACUUAAGGGUUGUCUUCGCAAUUUAAUAUCCCAAAUCCACUUUUUGUCGUCCCAUCGACCCGAAUCAGUAAUGGUGGCCUUUUUAUCAACUGCUAGAGCAAAGAUUCUUGGGAAGAAACUAGCUAUGUGAAAAUCCUCGAUCCAAGCAUCCUUCCAAAGGGAGAUUUUUGAGCCGUCACCAAGAGAGUGAUUGAAACUAUUGGAAACCAGAUCAUGAAAUUUGCUAGACGGUUGCAAAUGUUCAGUAAUGUGUUUCCAUAAAAGGGAGGGCUUAAAAGAUUUCUCAAAAGGCAUCAUGGAGCAUAUGGAUCGAGCUUGUUUUUCAUUAAGACAACCUCCUUCCAUAGGCUGUUGGGAUUGCUGGUACAACGCCACAACUGUUUAUUAAGAAAAGCUCGAUUUUAGAUACCAAAGUCUGUGAUUCCAAGACCCCCUUAGUCCUUUGGGUUGUAAAUUGAGUGCUAGUUGAUAUAAUGCAUUUUUCUCUUAUUCGAGCUACCAGACCACAGGAAGUUUCUUUGGAUGCUUUCUAGUUUCUUUUUCACAGUUGCCGGAAGCUGAAUGAGUGAAAGGUAAUGCAUGGGCAAAUUGGACAACACUUAAUUAAUGAGAGUCAGGCGGCCUCCCAUGGAGAGAAAAUGACCCAUCCAAUUGACAAGUUGUGUAGACUCUAUAUCUGUUUGACGAUAACAAACAUUCCUCAUUCGUUAAUAUCUAACCUUGUUACUUAAGUAUGUAGUAUUUAAUUUAAUAUCCUUAACAAAGUUAUCCAUUAAAGGCAAGUCAAGAAGCAUGCUAAACUUAAUGCAGAGUUAAUCAAUCAAUAAGGAAAGAGCAAGUAGUGAACAAAACAGAAUCUUGGUAACUAAUUAACAAGGGACCAUGGCUGUGUGAUAAGGUAAAGCAAAACAGAAAUAUGUUAAUCGGUUAAGAAGUCUGAUUAAUCGGUUAGAGCAUAAAGUUCUAGUUUAUUCAAGUACCAAAAACAAGUUUGAAAAAUAUAAUUGAUCAUUGAAGGGACCCAAAAUGGAGAAGUUCAAAAUUCGAAAAAUUUCUAGUUGAUUAAAGCUGAUUUUAAUCGGUUAUGGUUGAAGGAAGUAUAGCUUCAAUCAGCUAAGGGAAGAGCUAACCAAUUAGAGGAAGACUGCUAUGUAGACAAGAAUGAAAACAAAAAGUUUGUAAUCGGUUGGAGUCUCUUGUAAUCUGUUAGAGCUAAGAACUCAACAGUAAGACAGUGCAAGGCAGAGAAGUUGUAAUUGAUUAGAGUUGCCUGUAAUCGGUUAGUCGAAGUCUGUCUCCCUUUUUUUAAAUUUAAACACUAAAGGAUAAAAUAACAGUUAGAAGUGCAUUAUAGUUGUUUAUAACGGCUAGAAACUAUCUCCAACAAAAAAUCUGACUCCCCAAGUAUGAAGGAAGCUUCAACGAUCAAAGAAAAGAAUUUUCGAAAAGAAAAAAGUCAUUUUGAGUAAAAAGCAAAAUAUUUUUCACCAAAAGCACUUAUUCGUCAUUUCAAAUCCAAAAAAAGUGUUUGAGCUUGAUUGUAAUCUGUCCAAACUUGUAAAGGUACUUAGUUGUACUUUAUUUUUUUUUCUUGAAAAAUUAGAGUGUGGGAAGCACUCUAAAGCUUGUUGUAAGGGAUUAGAGCUUGAGUUGAGAGCUCACCUUGUAAAAGCUUGGUGAAAGCUGUUAAUUCCACCAAUAUAGUGAAGUUGAGUUGAAAAUCCUUGAUUGAAAAAUCAAGGUAGUGGAUAUAAGUCAAGGGGACCAACCCAUUAUAAAUAGUCUUGCAUUGUCCACUUCCUUUUACCCUUCUUUACUUGUUGUCUUUCAACCACUACAAGCUUUACAUUCAUUUUUCUCUAAUUGGUUAAAAACUCUAUCAUUCAAAAAGGGCUAAACUUAAAAUUUUUAAUGUUAUUCACCCCCUAUCUAGCACUCUUUUGGGACCAACAAGUGGUAUUAGAGCCAUACCCUCAAAAUUAAAGUUUUACAUCCUUAGGGAAGAUCCACUUAGCUUUGCUAAAGUUAGUUGUUGCUUAGGGUCAAUCCACGAAUAAGCCUCCUUUAUUUGAUGGAUCAAAUUAUGUUUAUUGGAGCAUUAUGAUGUCUAUAUAUAUUAGAACCCUUGAUUAUGAAAUAUGGGAUGUAAUCACAAAAGAACCCUAUGUUCCCACCUCACCUAGUUUUGUAACCGAUGAAAAAAUGCCUAAGCCAAAGUUGAGUGGACUGAAGCUAAACUCAAAAAGGUCUAAACAAAUUUUAAAGCCAUCAGCACCCUUCAUUGUGCACUACUCCCUUAGAAUUCAACAAAAUCUCUAAUUGUACUACAAUCAAAGAGAUUUGGUAUAAAUUUAAAGUCAUUCGUGAAAAGACUUCAGAAGUAAAGGAGUCUAAAAUUGCCUUACUCAUCCAUAAUUAUGAAAUAUUUAAAAUGGAACCCGGUGAAGAUGUAACUACCAUGUUCAAUAGGUUUAUCAAUAUUACAAACAAGCUCAAUCAAUUUGGAAAAACCAUCCCUAAACAUUAAUUAGUAAAAAGGCUUCUUAGAUGCCUCUCUAAAAGCUAAAAGCCAAAGGUCACGGUUAUCCGAGAGGCCAAGGAUCUCAAUGUGGUCACACUUGAUAAAAUUUGUGGCUGUCUCUUCACACAUGAACUUGAAAUAAAGGAAGAAGAAGAGGAAGAAAAAAAAGAAGCCAAAGAGAAAAGAAAAAAUAUUGCACUCAAGAUUAGUACAUUUGAGAAAUAACUUGAAAAAUAAUCAAGUGAUGAUGAUGAAGAGUUAGCAUGAUGGCUAGAAGGUUUAGGAAGCUGAUGAGAAAAAAAAGACAUAAGGUUUUGAAGGAAAAAUUACAAAAAAGACUAAGGAAAAACAAACACAAAGAUGAUUCGAACAAGAAGGAUGAGAUUAUCUGCUUUGAAUGUAAGAAUUUUCAAAAAUGAUGAAGAAACUAAAGAAAGCGAUAAUGGCAGUAACUUGGUCCAAUGAUGACUCCUUAAGCUUAAAAGAAGAAGAAGAAAAAUUGGAAAAAAGAACGAAUUGCUAGUUGAUGGCAAGAUAAGAAGAAAUUGAGAUAACUUCUAAUUCAUGUGAUAUUUCUUAUGAUGAUUUACAAGAAGAAUAUGAUUGCCUAUAUGUUGAAUUUGAAAAACUUGCCUUUAAAUAUAAAAUUAUGAGGAAAAAAGGUGUUGCAUUGAAUGAAGAAUUAGAAAAAAUCAAGCAUGAGUACAACUCUAUUUUUGAUUAAAGGAACACGUUUCAAAUUAAACUAGAACAAUCCAAAACUAAUUUUGAAUUCUUGAAGCUUGAAUUGAAAAGCAAAACGUUAGAAUUACAAAGAGUUGUUGAUGAAAAUGUUGCACUUAAAGUUUUUUUUAUAUAUAAUUAGGGAAGAAGGGAUUCGAACCCAGCUUUCUUGGCAAGGGGACCAUGCACUAACCAAUUAGCCAAAUGCUCAGAUGCAAUGUUGCACUUAAAGUUGAUAGAGAAGAAAGACUAAAAUUGAAAUCAAAAGAUGAAGAAGAGUUUAAAAGAAAAACAAGCCUUUAAAGGAAAACUAAUGCUAUCUCAUGUCACUACUCUGUGUGUGGUAGGAAAGGUCAUUUGUCUUAUGAAUGUUUCCAUUCUAAUAAAAUCUUUCCUAAAACCAAAUUGGUUUGGGUUCCAAAAAGAUCCUAUGUCAUUGCUAACCCCCAAAGACUCAUCAAAAUAUAAGUACCUUUAAAGAAAAAUUGAAAAUUUGUUUUGUAGGUUAAGUAAGGAAGGAUUAAUGAUUCGAAGCUCAACUAAAGAAAAGACAACCUUGGUACUUAGACAAUGGCUGCUCGAGACACAUGACCGGCAAUGAAAACUUAUUUGCUAAGCUUGAUAGGAAGAAGUGUGGUAGUGUUUUUUUUAGUGAUGACUCCAAGGGUAUUAUCCAAGGAAUUGAAACCAUUGGUAACACAUCUCAAACAUAAAUCAAGCAUAUUUUAUUUGUUAAAAGUUUAAAACAUAAUUUGCUAAGCAUUAAUCAGCUUUAUGAUAAAGGUUUUAGAGUAUGCUUCGAUUCCCAUGCAUAUCAAGUGAUUAAUGUUAACACUAACAAAGUAGCAUUCAUUGGCAAAAGAAUUAAGAAAAUGUAUGUCAUUUUUCUUGAUGAAAUUAAGUCUAGUAAAUCAUGCUUUAUUGCCAAUGAUGUUUGUGAUAGUUGGUUAGGACAUGCUAGUAUGCACAUAAUUUCAAAACUUUUGAGAAAAAACUUAGUCAUUGGACUUCCAAAGAUAUCAUUUGAAAAUGAUAAGGUUUGUGCUGCAUGUCAAUAUGGAAAACAAGUUAAAAGUUCCUUUAAAUUUAAGAAAGUCAUAUCAACUUCUAGGUCUCUUGAACUAUUACAUGUUGACUUUGUUUGGACCAAUCACUGUUACUAAUCUAGGAGGCAAGUCAUAUGGCUUUGUUUUUGUAAAUGAUUACUCUAGAUAUACAUGGAUAUAUUUUCUUACUCAUAAAGAUGAUGCAUUGCUAAUUUUUGUUAAACAUUGUAAAAGAGUUCAAAAUGAAAAAGGCCUUUCCAUUCUUAAUGUUAAGAGUGAUCAUGAUGGUGAAUUAGAAAGUGAAAAUUUUGAAAUCUUUUGUAAUGAAAAUGGUUUUGAUUACAAUUUUUCUGCUUCUAGAACUCCACAACAAAAUGGAGUUGUUAAAAAAAAAUAGGACCUUAAAAGAAAUGGUAAGGACAAUGCUUUGUAAAAACAACUUGCCAAAAUAUUUUUGAGCUGAAGCUAUUAAUACUGCAGCUUACAUUUUAAAUAGAGUUUCCAUUAAAGCUAUGAUUUUUAAAACCCCUUAUGAGCUUUUCAAAGGAAGAAAGCCAAAUAUUUCGCACUUAAGGAGUUUUGGAUGCAAAUGCUUUGUUUUACAUAAUAGAAAACACACCUUGAGAAGGUUUGAUGCUAGGAGUAAUGAGGUAAUUUUCUUAAGCUAUGCAUUGAACUCUAAAGCAUAUAGGCUAUUUAACAAAAGAACUUUAGUUACUGAAAAGUCAAUUCAUAUUGUUUUUAUGAGACUAAAGCUGCACAAAGAAAGGUAAUGCUUGAUGAUGAUGAUACAGAUAACAUUAAGAAGAAAAUGGAAAAGAUGAGCUUGGAUAGCAAAGAAAAUGAUUAAAAGAGCUCAAAGGAAAAAAAAAAUGAUGAUGAACCACCAUUAGAAGACUUGCAAAGAGUUGAGGAACAGCACAAUGAUCUUCCUAGAAGUUAGAGAUUUGUAAGGAAUCAUCUUCAAGAACUCAUCAUUGGUGAUACAUCAAAAGAUGUCAAAACUAGAAGGGGAUUAAGAGAAGUUUGUGAGUAUCUAACAUUCACAUCACAAGUGGAACCAAAGAACUUUAAGGAAGCUGAAAAGGAAAAGAGUUGGAUGAUUACAAUGCAAAAAGAAUUGGGCCAAUUUGAAAAGAACAAGGUUUGGACCUUAGUUCCAAGGCUAACCAACCAUCCAAUUGUUGGUAUGAAAUGGGUAUUUAAGGACAAGAUGGAUGAGUUGGUAAAUGUGGUAAGAAAUAAAGCAAGGUUAGUUGCUCAAGGCUACAAUCAAGAAAAAGGUAUUGAUUAUGAUGAAACCUUUACUCUAGUACCUAGAUUAGAAGCUAUUAGACUUUUACUUGACUAGGCAUGCUUUAUGAACUUUUAAUUAUUUCAAAUGGAUGUUAAAAGUGCAUUUCUUAAUGACUUUAUACAAGAAGAGGUAUGUGUUGAACAACGCCCUGAUUUUUAAUUGUUUGAUAAAAUUGAUCAUGUAUAUAAAUUGCAUAAAACUCUCUAUGGAUUAAAACAAGGUCCUAGAGCUUGAUCUGAAAGACUUUCUAAGUUUUUAAUUGGAAAAGGAUAUUCAAGGGGGAGUGUAGAUAAUACUUUGUUUAUUAGGAAAAAUGAGACCGAUUUGAUUGUUGUUCAAAUUUAUGUUUAUGAUAUAGUUUUUGGCGCUACUAAUGAAAGAUUGUGUGAGAAUUUUGCUAAGAAAUGCAGGGAGAAUUUGAAAUGAGCAUGAUGGGAGAACUAAAGUUCUUCCUUGGUCUACAAAUCAAGCAAUGUAAGGAUGGAAUAUUCAUCAAGCAAGAAAAGUAUACCAAGGAAAUGCUGAAGAAAUUUGGAGUGAUGAAUAUAAAAUCAAUAAGAACUCUUAUGAGCCCCUCCACAAAGCUUGACAAAGAUGAUAAAGGGAAAGAUAUGGACCAAAAGCUCUAUAGAGUUUUGAUUGAUUCACUUAUUUAUCUUACUGUAAGUAGACCUGAUAUAGUAUCUAAUGUGUGCUUAUGUGCAAGAUUCCAAUUAUGUCCUAAGGAAUCACAUUUGACUGCAGUGAAAAGGAUUUUUACAUAUCUCUCGGAUACUUAAAGCUUAGGCUUAUGGUAUCCAAAAGGUUCAUCUUUCAAUCUUUUAGGUUAUUUCGAUAUUGCUUUUGGUGGUAGCAAAAUUGAUCAGAAAAGCACUAGUGGUACUUGUCAAUUCCUUAGAAACAUGCUUGUGUCUUGAUCUUGCAAGAAAUAAAAUGUUAUUACUCUAUCAACUGAGUAUAUAUCAUUAGGUAGUUGUUGUGCACAAAUUUUAUAGAUUAGGCAAUAACUAAAUAAUUUUGGAAAAACUAUGCAUAAAAUUCCCAUUUAUUGUGAUAAUAUGAGUGUCAUAAAUAUCUCUAAAAAUCCUAUUCAACACUCUAAAACAAAGCACAUUGAAAUAAGAAAUCAUUUCAUUAGAGAUCAUGUGCUUAAGGGAGAUAUUGAAAUAGAUUCUGUAUACACUUUGCACCAAUUGGCUAACAUUUUCACAAAACCAUAAAAUAAAGAACAAUUUUGUAGAAUUAGAAGAGAUUUAGGAAUGAUUGAUAUUAAUGAAGUCUAAAUUAUGCUGAAAUGAUCAUGUUUUUUAUGAUAUAUUUCAUGGUGAUUGUGUUUAUUUCUUGGUGUAAUUGAUUAGAGAAUAUUUUUUUAUUAGCUAAAAGGACCUAACAUGAAAGAUAAGAUUCAUUUUAAUCAGUUAAGGACCUUCCUAAUCAAUUAAAAUAGUUCUGUGGUGAAAGAGUAAACCUAAAGAAAAAAGAUAUUAAUUAGUUAAUAGCUCCGUUAACUAGUUAAUACAAUUCUGGUAAUUAAAAAGGUUACAAGUCAGAAGCAUAGUAAUCAAUUAAGGCUUACUCUAAUCGAUUAGAGGAAAUCUGUGGAAGAAAGAAACUACCGUACGAGAAUUUUCUUUAAAAUAAAAAAACUAUGUAGUUGGUAUAGGACAUCACCCACUCAAAACAUGGAUAACCGGUUAUUAACUCCCCAUAUAAAGACCUUCCACCUAUUUAAAGAGUUAGUUACAUUGAAAAUCAAUAUCCAUGAGCCUUUAGAUUUUCCUCUUUACUUUCCUUUGAAACCCAAGAAACCUUAAGAAACAAAAUCUCAUGGAAAAAACUUCUCUUACCCACAAAGUAGCUAAAAAGGGAAAAGGAAAAAGGCAAAAUGAUGAUCUUCCUUCACAUUCUCUUAAGAUGAAAGGAAAAUAAAAAAACCUUCAACAGAGAAGAAGAAGGGAAGCAAAAAGAAAGCGACAGAGAAAGGUAAAAGAUCAACGGAGGCAAGAGCCCCCACAAGCAAAAAUAGUGAUUCAUCCUUCCGAUUUCGAAUUCACUUGCAUGCUGAUAGGUUUAGAAAGAUUGACAAUGCUUUAAUCUCUUGUGGGAAGUUUUCUAAUUAUGGUAGUUAUAGUGAUGCUCUUGUAGUGAAAGAGGAUUUAGAAAAUUAUUUUGAAACAUUAAAACUGAAGUUAAUGAGUACAUUUAGAGAUAAGAUGUUUAACCCCACUUUAGUUAAAGAACUUUACUCUAGCAUUGCUUUUGACAAAACUGAAUUGGAAGAACAUGAUGAGUUUGUUGAACUUAAAUUUUCAGAUCAGUGCUCAAGAUUUAAGAGAAUUCCUAAAAACUGAAUGUAAAAUAGAAGAGUGCAAAAUGCUUAAGAAAUGUAAUCCAAGUCAUUUUUGGGAGAUUAUAAUUGGAAAGAAUGAGAAGUUUCCUUCCAGGAGCUAUGCUAGUGACAUUAAGAAUGCACAGUUUAAGAUUCUCCAAUAUUUCAUAGCAACCACUGUACAUGGAAGAAGUAGUAGUUUUAGUUAUGUGAGUGCACAAGACUCGUGGUUGAUGGAAGCAGUUUUCAAUGAAAUCCCACUAAAUGUGGGAAGAUAUAUGGUAGAAAGAAUCAAGGCAACCCUACUCGGGGCACAAAGCAAACUUGCUUUUUGGGAAUAUUCUUACAACUUUAGUGAAUAAGAAACGAAUUUGGAAUAAAAGAUUUCAAUAUGAUAUUACAAUGAUCAAGGGAUAUUUCUAGGAAGUGUGAUGAAAAUGGGAUACAAGAUAAACAAGAAUAAGUAUUAAAAUCACAAAAGGUACACCUUUGCCCCCUCCAACUGAUAGUCCCUCAACACCUUUCACCAAGGUUAAUCAAACCCCCCAUCUAGGUGACAUAAUGUUUAAUCUUCUCAUGAGAAUCGAUGGGAAGUUAACUGAUCAGGCUACAAAGAUUACAAAGAUUGAAAAGAAACUUUAACAGCUUGAAGCCUUGUUUCAUCAAGCAAGGGAAACAAAAUUCCCUAAACCUCUAGCACUGCUCCAAGCCAAUCCAAUGAGAAGACUGCUAGAAAACAGUUUGAAAUUCAAGCUUUUGAUCAUAAAUGGGAAACUAGAAAAGAAAUGCCUGAAAUUGAAUAUAUGGAUUAAAAUAAAAUGGGGAGUUUUGAAAACAAAGAAGCUGAACCUGAAGAAGAAAUCAAUAAAGAAAAAAAAGAACAAGGGUAAGAAAGGGAAAAUAGAAAAAGUGAAAAAGGAACUCAAAGGUGAGAAAGAGCACACAAUUGAUGGAAAGAGUGGUGCAAGUUCUCUUGGAGAAUCUGAAGAAAUACUAGUCUCUAACUUUAUCAGAGAUAUUCUCAAGGAGGCUAAAGCUGACCAGGCACAACAACAAGUAGAAAUACAUCAAGAAGUUCAGUUAACUCCACAUAAGACAAAAAAAUAAAAAAAAUAAAAAAUAAAAACUCCACAUAAGACAAAACAAAUUGCAAAAGAAGCAAAUCUAGACAAAGGUAAAGCUAUUGAUAUUGCUUCUGUCGCAAAGCAAACUACUGGAAGAGGAAGAAAAACUAUGGCUACAAAGACCAAAACCUUCAAAAGAAGAAAGUCUACUAGACUGGCAUUAACCUCCACUCAAAAGUUCUCUAAACCUCCAGCAUCUCAACCUAUCUCAUCCACUUCAUCCUCAUCAGUCUCCUUAUCCCACUCCUCUCUCAAACCUCUCAAUGUUCAUUUUGGCACUGAUGAGUCCUCACCUUCCUUUAAUUCAGAUUAGGACCUUUUUUUAAAUGAUGCCAAAAAGGGAGAGAAAACUAGGAAGAUAAGAAAAUAGGAUCAAGAAGUAGAGCUAAUAGGAAUGAUGAACUCAGUCUUUAAGAUAUGCUUUUAUUUGUUUUGUUUUGAUGUUUUAUGGUAUGGUUUAUGAGACAAUGUUUUAUGCUAUGAACAAUGGUUGAAUGAUGGAAUUAUAUUUAUGUUUAUGUGGUUUAUAUUGUGUUGAGAUUUCAUAUCUGUAAGUUGAAAUUAUGUUGAACAGCUAGACAUUGAUGUCUAUAAAUAUGUUCUUGUGAUUGAAUGUCUUUAUAUUGGAUAAUUUUAUUAAAGCAUAUAUUUAGGUGGAGCACAUAUUUAAAGGGAACAAUCCCAAAUCUGCACAUAAAUUCUUUCUACAGACAUUACACUCUUAAUCUAUGUGCAUUUUCUCAUCAAUAAAAAAAAAAAAGAAUCUUGACUACAUAUGUUUUUUAUAACAACAAAAUAUUCCUUAUUCAUUAAUGUUUAAUCGUGUUAUUUAAGUAUGCAAGAUUUAAUUUAAUACCGCUAACAAAGUUAUCCAUUAAAGGCAAGUCAAGAAGCGUGCUAAACUAAAUACGAAGUUAAUCAAUCAAAUAAGGAAAGAACCAAUAGUGAACAAAAACAGAACCUUAGUAACUGAUUAACAAGGGAGCUUAAUCAAUUAAGACAUGGCUAUGUGAUAAGUUGAAGCAAAACAAAAUUAUGCUAAUCUAUUAAGAAGUCUGGUUAAUCAGUUAGAGCACAAAGUCCUAGUAUAUUCAAGCGUCAAAAAUAAGUUUAAAAAUAGAGUUGACCGUUGAAGGGAGCCAAAAUGGAGAAGUCAAAAUUCGAAGAAUUUCUAGUUGAUUAAAGCUAAGUUUAAUCGGUUAUGGUUGAAAGAAUUAUAGCUUCAAUCAGCUAAAGGAAAAGCUAACCAAUUAAAAGAAGAUUACUAUGUAGAGAGGAAUGAAAAUAGAAAGUUUGUAAUCAGUCAGAGUCUCCUGUAAUCGGUUAGUGCAAAUAACUCAGUAUUAAGACAAUGCAAGGUAGAGAAGUUGUAAUCAUUAGAGCUACUUGCAAUCGAUUAGCCGAAAUCUAUCUUUCUUUUUUUGAAUUUAAAUACUAAGAGAUAAAAUAAUGACUAGAAAUGCAUCAGAGUUAUCUUUAACGACUAGAAACUAUCUCCAACAGAAAAAUCUUACUCCCUAAGUAUAAAAAAAAAGCUCCAACAGUCAAAGAAAAGAAUUUUUUAAGAGAGAAGAACCAUUUUGAGCUAAAAGAAAAAUAUUCUUUACCAAAAACACUUAUUCCUCAUUCCAAAUCCAAAAAAAGUGUUUGAGCUUGAUUGUAAUCUGUCCAGACUUGUAAAAGUACUUAACUAUACUUCUUUUUUGUUUUUCUUGAAAAAUUAUACUUAGCUAUACUUCUUUUUUUGUUUUUCUUGGAAAAUUAAAGUGUGGGAAGCACUCUAAAGCUUGUUGUAAGGGCUUAGAUCUUGGGUUGAGAGCUCACCUUGUAAAAGCUUGGUGGAACUGUUAAUUCCACCAGUAUAGUAAGUUGAGUUAAAAAUCCUUGAUUGAGAGAUCAAGGUAGUGGAUGUAGGUCAAGGGGACCGAACCACUAUAAAUAGUCUUGCAUUGUCCACUUCUCUUUACCCUUCCUUAUUUGGUGUCUUUCAACCACUACAAGCUUUACAUUCAUUUUCCUCUAAUUGCUUAAAAGCUCUAUCAUUUAAAAAGGGUUGAGUUUAAAAUUUUUAGUACUAUUCACCCCUCUCUAGCACUUUUUUUAAUACCAAUAAGUUGGGCAUUAAAUUUAUCUAUGAUUGGCUACUACAUACUCAAAGAGCGAGGAUUUGCCCCUAAUGGAACACUUAGGUAAUAUGAAGGAAGGGUGUUAAUCUUACAACCCACCAUGAUAGCACAUUACUCAAUUAAGGUUUGAUCAACACCAAUACCCACAAAGUUGCUCUUGGAGAACUUAAUCUUUAAACUAGAGAUAGCUUGAAAGAUUUUAAGGAUCCUUGAAAGAUUAAUAACUUGGUUCAAAUAAGGUCCAAAAAAGAAAGUGUCAUCUACGAAUUAUAAGUAGGAAAUAGACAAUUAUGAAGUUUCAACCUUGACUCUCUCAAAAAUCUUUAGAUUAAUGGCCUUGUGGAUGAAGGUACUCAAACAUUUCGCAACAAUGUUGAAGAGUUAAGGAGAAAAGGGGCACCCUUGAUGGAGACCUCUUUAGGUUUUGAACUGUGGUGUGGGAGUUUAGUUCAAAAGGAUAAAGAUCAAGGCUAUAAAGAUGCAUUGCAUAAUAUACCCUCUCCACUUAGUGCCAAACCUCAUAGGCUUCAUAAUAAGAUUCAAAUGGUCCCAGUCAAUGUAAUUAAAUGCUUUUUUGAAGUCCACUUUAAAGAAAAAACUAAGCUUCUUGCUUUAUUAAGCGAAUCAAUAGGUUAUUAGCAAUAAAGGAGCAAUUAAGGAUUUGUCUGCCUUUCACAAAUGCAAAUCGAUUGUUCUUAAUAACAAUGCUAAUAACAGCCUUCAAUCUAUUAGCUAAGACUUUAGCUAAGAUUUUAUAAGUGCUUCUUACCAGACUUAUUAGUCGAAAAUGAGAAAGAGUGGAAAGCCCCAUUGAUUUUCGAGAUCAAUGUAAUGAAGGAGGAAUUAAUGUUCGGAUUGAAUCUUUCUGUGGCAAAGAACUCAUUCUUGAAAGAAAUGAUCUUAGCUUUGAAAAAUUGGCCACUGCCGUUUGAAAAUAUUCAUAUUGAAGCCAUCCGGGCCAAGGGCUUUAUUUCCUUCACAUUAUUGAACAGCACUCCAUAUUUUUUUUUUCAAGAAAGUAGCUUCAAGAUUAACAUUAAGCUCAUCACUAAUUUGAUUAAAGCAACAAUUAAAUUCCUUAAUUUUUAGUGUGUCCUGUUUCCUAAGAAAGUUCUGAAAGUGGGAGAAAACCUCACUUCUGAUGGAAGAAAGAUCAUGAGAGAUGACACCGUUGCACUAGAGAUGGUGGAUACUGUUGAUUCUUUUUUUGUUAGAAGCAAUAAGAUAAAAAAACCUUGAGUUUCUAUCUCUUUGUUUAGUCCAUUAGAGGUAGCCAAAAACGCUCCUCUCUUAUACAUAGGUCCUUGUGUCUGCUUUUAAAAGAAAAAUAGUUAGCUUUCUCAAUGAGGGUGAGCUCUCUAAUCUCAACCUCUUUUUUGAGUAAAUCAAUUUCCUUCUUAAGAGUUAGAAUUUUUUUUUUUGUCCUCAUUAUACUGUUGCUGCUGCCAGGUCUUCAAAGAGAGCUUGAGAUUUUUUAUCUUGUCAAAAAUACCCGUGCUAAGAGUAGAGCCUUCUUUAAUAAGUUUCCAAGAGUUAUGAAGGUGAAAGGUUAACUCUUUGUUGUCAAGCCAAUUAGAGAAGAGUCUGAAAUCAAUUGGAUCCAUAAUGAGAGAGAUAGGAUUGUGGUGAGAGUUAAAGCGAGGAAAGACUUUUUGAACCAAAGCCAAAAAUUUCAAUAAAAGAUUACUACUCACAAAGAAUCUGUCAAGCCUGCACAUUAUUGAAAACUCUCUAUUGUCUGUCUUAGUAAAAAGACCACCCUAGAGAGGGAGAUCCAUCAACUCCAUGGUGUUUAUGAAAUUUGAGUGAUGAUUCAUACUAAUAAAAUUGAAAUUAUCCCCAGUUUUCUCAACGGCUAUUUUAACAGUAUUAAAGUCCCUACAAAUAACCCAAAGACCAUCGAAUGAACUUUUAAAAUUCACUACCUGAAGCCAGAGAGUGGCUUGUUCCAUAGUGCAAUUAAGGGCAUAAAUGUUGAUAAAAGUACAAGUGAUAUUAAUUGGUUUAAUAAUACUAGUGGUUACGAUGUACCUUUGCUUGAACGCUAUAGAAGAGAGAUCAAAGACGCUGUUAAACCAUAUAGAAAUGAGACCUCCUAACAUGCCUUCAACAUCUGCCACUUCAAAAGAAAAAUCAUUAUCCUUCCAUAAGGACUUCAGAAAGUUUUUGUGGAUGAAAUUUUUCUUGGUCUUUGGAGAAAGAGCAUUUUUAGUUUCUUGGAAGAAACAAGUCUCUUGACUACCUUUCUUUUAAUUCUGAAGCCUAAGCCCUUGACAUUCCAAGAGAUACUAUUAAUCAUAAUGAAGAGAAAGAAAUCGUGUAGAGAGUAGCUAGACUUAGUUGACUCCCUUCCCUUUGGUAGUUGCAAUGUUCGAGAAAUGCUGGGUAACAGUGCCCUAUUCUUCAUCCAGAACAAGACCUAAUAAAGAGUAAAUUUCAAGAGUAUUAUUUGCUUCUUACAUAAAAGUUGCAUUCUUUUUUACUUACCGUGUCAUGAGAAAAAUCCUAGUUAACUGGAGCUAGUAUGUCUUCAAUGCUUUUGAUAAUUUCAGAUAAGCCUCUCAAUUUCUUAGAAUUUUUCCCUUUUUUGAUGUUUUUCCCAUACUCUCUUUUUUUGCAUGCCUUUUCUCCUUCUAAACUAUAUAAAUUCUUCAAUUUUUUGGAAUUUUUCAAAUGAAGCAAAGGUCUCUUCUCUUUAGUUUUUUGUGCCUUGAUCUUAGCUUUGAGCUUAGAGAGUGGAGUGAAAUCAUCAUCAGAUGAUGAAACAUUAUCGUUGGGGACGUGUGGUUCCUUGGUUUUCUUACGAAUUUUCUUAAUUUUUAAAGUGGCUAUGUUGCCUAUGGAAUUCAUUGUGGCUUUGUGUUGUGUGUUUUGGGUUUGUCGAGUUGGAGUGUUUUUUUGUGCUUUUGGUGGGUUUAGGCCCUUCUGCUUCUGCUUUAAUUGGCCUACAACUAUUGAGGGUGACAUCAUAAGACCUGAGGAAAAUUUUAGCAAUGCAAUUAGGAUGUGGAUGAUGUUGUCGGGCCGGGUGGGUUAUGGGAUGGGGUCUAUUGCUAGGUUUGGUUUGUUCCCCCAUUGAAAGCACUUUGACUAGUCAAAUUUUUGUAGGCAUCUUUGCUGGUACUUGCUGACCUGUCCCAUCAAUUUGAAUUUGAAUUGCUAUUCCCACCCAUUGAAGCUUAAGAAUGGUUGUGCUUGGCUAUUGAUGAAAGUCUGAAAUCUUGAGGAUUAGGGAUGUCAAAGAUUUCUUCCUCUCUAAUGGUAUGAGUAUAAGGGAUGGAAAAUAUGUCUAUGGGCAAUUUUUCAAUUUUUUGGGCAAAAAUGUAAUUUUUUACUUUUACGGGGGAAAAAGUGUAAAUUUCAAAAAUUACUCCACCAAGACUUUGGAUAAGUCUGAGAAUUUUAUCUAAGCUAUGGAUAUGUGGGACAAGUGUAUGGUGAAAAUUUGGAAACUAAUGGAUGAAAUUUUAAAAAUGGGCCAAUGGAAAAGUGACACAUGGCACUUUUUAAUUGUUUAAUAUUAUUUUAAUGGAAAAUCAGCCCAUUUAAACCUCACACUAAGUGCUGGCCGGCCAUAAGGAAAGNNNNNNNNNNNNNNNNNNNNNNNNNNNNNNNNNNNNNNNNNNNNNNNNNNNNNNNNNNNNNNNNNNNNNNNNNNNNNNNNNNNNNNNNNNNNNNNNNNNNCCCGCGCCAACACACACACAUGUUCUGCCUUCUUGAAUGCUGUUAUUAAGGGUAGAUCUGUCAUCAAAGUCUAGAAGAUGAUCAAAACAUGAAAGAAUUUAUAGAGAGUCCAGCAUGAGUAGAAAGAGUCCUCAGAGCCAGGAGAUCAUCUAACAUCUCUAUAUGACCAAAACCAUAUACUAUGAAUUAUGACAAAGCUACAGGCACAACAUUUCCCCGGAAAACUUGAAAGCCAGUUCCAACUUUACUUGCAUGUUAAGGCAAGUGUCAUAUAUGACAAAGGUAUACACCAUGCACAAUUCUUAAACAUGGGAGCCUGCACACAAAAGCGUGAAGACUAGGAUGCUUACUGCUUACUAACAUUAGGCAAUUUAUGCAUACACAUAUAUACAGGGACUGAGAGAAAAAGAAAGACAAACCUCAGUAACAUAAGGCAGUUGAUGUGGGAGUGGAGGAUUUGCGAAAUCCUUCUUUGGCAGAACUCGGAUCGGUUGGCCUGCAAAUGUAGCAUCCUGCAAACAAGUGGCACAAACUUCAAUUCUGAAUGCUGAACAUCAUAAAAUGACAUCAGAGAGAAACAGAAAAGAGAUUUCUUUAUAUGUAUAUAAAGAGGAAAGGGUAAAAAGCCAAAGCUAUAUUAUGCUGAUUUUUUUAUGAAUGUGGAAAAUUAUAACCUGUUUAGGCAUGGACCAAUUGGUGCUCAAAAUCUGAAACAAGACACCUCACACAUGCAGUAUUAAAUAACGUAAAAAUGAAAAAUAAACUUUUGGCCCCAGAGACUUGCAAGAGCCGUACACUCAUAGGCACUACUACCUUUGGCAGUAGCUAACAAAAGUUCUGGCUUUGAGGAAUACUGAUCUCUAGCAAUUAGAAUGAAUAAAUUCAUUUUUUUCAUAGUCCUUUCCUCACACCUGAACCAUUUCCAUUCAAGGUAUGUAACUGAGAUGGGUAGUGGAGAAACAUAAAUAAUCAAAGUAAUAUAAUGGUAUGAACAAUUUUACAAUCCACAACCAUGGACAGAUCAUAUAGAUCAGGAAAUUAUUAUUAAAUUCUGAACGGAUUCAACAUAUAUAAAAGAAGCUCCUAAACAAAAAUUGGAAAAAUAUCGAAGUACAUAUAAUAUCAUAUAUAGGAUAUAACCAAUUCAGUAUAUAUCUGGACCUCUGGAUUAAGUGAUCAACAUAAAGAUGACAGAAAGCUAAUAAUUUCAAAGCGUUACUGUUUUAAGGAAACAAACACCCCAGCCACAUUGGCUCCACGUCAUUAAACACCAUAUUAAAUAUCACCUAAAUUACUGAAAGCAUUUGUUCGUUACAUUUAGGAGAAGAGCUGUUUGAUAAGCAUAUGGCUGCCUAAAUGUUACCAGAGCUGACUGUGAUCCAUCUUUAUUCGCACUGGUCACCAAAGAGAGAACCCUGAUUAAUACUGAUUGAAAAGCUAUUAUAAUUGGGAAGGAAAAGAAAGAAAGAAAGAAAGAAAAAAAGGGAUAUUGAAGCAACAAGCUUUGCAAGUUAUAAUUACCCCUGAAGCAGGAUUUUCUCGACGUGGCCACAGUAUGAGAAAAAUGCAGUGAGCUCUCCAAGAGUAACUGUAGGAGAAAGGUUGAGAACCACAACAGUUAAAUUCGGAUUAGCCAUUCUCGGUACAGUUUCUCGCUAUCCUUCUUGCAAUGUCUACCAUCUCUUUCUGCCCAUAAAAAGCAACGAUUGUAGAGCAGAUAAACAUGAAUAAUUUUUACUAGUGGGAGAAUAAAGUAUGAUAUACAUAUUUUAUACGAAUUUAUUCCCCUCUCAUAAAGCUUGAAAGCUUUCACAAUCUCUGCACUGCGUAGGAUAAAUAUCAAUAAGAUUCUACUAGUAAUCAUUAAGCUCAACAUUUCAAUUAAAAAUUGUAAACAUAGUGUUUAUUUUCAUUUGGAGGAACGGUGAAGGAAAACAAAUCUUUUUUUGUGUGAUUAAUGAUCAUGGUUAUGGAUAUGGAUGCGUACAAGCACAGCACAAGCAUCGCUGGACGGACUGGCCUUUGGACCCCGCCAUUUGUAGCCGCAAGCCUGCUGCAACAUGGGGCUCGCCUUGUUCAGUUAUGCGUCUAUUACUGAGACCUAUGAGCACUUAACCACGAAGUCCAAAAUUUGCUUUUUUUUUUUUAAAUAUAGUUUUUCUUAGCUAAUAGCAGAUAAUGUUUCCUCCUGUCAAUUUUGAUUAUUAAGUCCAUUAAAGGGCAUUAUCAGAGGGAAAUGAAAGAAAAAAAAAAAAACCAAAAGAAAACAGAAGAAAGAAAAAGGGUAGAAGGAAGGUGUCAUUAUCAGAGGCAAAGAUUCCGCAAGACACGUUGGGAGUUGCGAAUGCGUCCUUUUGUCCUUGCCAUCCUACUGCUUUUUGACUGUCCUUUUCUACGCUAAUGCCAAGAAUUGAGAGUAUUUUCAUUAAAAAGUCACAAAAACAAUUGGUUUAUGCUUCCAUCCCAACUUGUUAUAUAGCUGUUACGUAAAACCAACGUUGGUUCAUUGUUUCUCUUUUGUAUUACUAACUAGAAAUUGCUUCUUAUAAAUUAUGGAUGGAGGUGGAAUGACAGAUAAUUCUUUAAUCAAACCAAGUUUGUUGAUAUGAUCAAUGGCCGCAAAACUUGCUUCACUUGUCGUUUUUACAACAAUUAAUUAAUGCACCAACUAAGUGAGGAAUUAUUAAAUAAUCAAAAAAGAGAGAAAAUUUUCCAUUUUUCAAAUUGGUUAAUUAAUAUAACUAUUGUAUUGUAUGUAAUAAUUACAACUAAAAAAAAGCAUAAUAUAUAAUAGACUAGAGAGGUGGGUAGCAUGGAAAAAAGCGUGAGGAUCUCCGGCAAAGACCACGUCCUCCACCGUCUCUCAUUACUAGAAAUAAUAAUAAUAAUAAUAAUAGUGAAUUAAUAUAUAAAAAGAGACGAAAAGACAGCAAAUAAUAGUCGUCAAAAUCGGCGAUCCGACUCGUCUGGCGGAAAAUCGCCACGCGAGCGAAAUGUGCAAUCCUCUCUCUCUCUCGCUCUCUAACCAUCUUUGCUGGCCUUUCCUCCACCUUUCUGGCCUUUGAGCUUUUUGGAGAGAGACUCUAAUCUCCCCCGCUGAGCUCCGAUCCCUUUCAACACUUUACCCUUCACCGCUCCCUCUGCAACUCUGGAACCUUUGCCUUCCUCUCUUCCUCAUUCCCUCCUUAUUUCCAGGUAAAGUUCGACAAAAAAAAAAAAUCAAAUUUCCUUUUUUUUUUUUGGGUUUCUUCCUCUCCAUUCUCCAAAACAAAGGAAACCCAAUAAUAUAAUAAUGUGGCAAAGUGUUAUUGGCUUGCAGAGUUGCCGAGGGACAUGUUGUGGCAGUGAAAAGGACAAAGAAAGGUAGAGAGAUCUGAUUGUGGUUUAAAGAGAUGUACGAAACUCCGUUGCCUGCUCAGCUCUCUGAUUCCAACCGCCGCAUCAUCGACACCAGUGCCACUACCCUUCGAGUCUAUCAAGUUUGGAAAGGAAGCAAUGUAAUUUACUAUGUAUUUCCCAUUUUUCUGCUUUCCUUGUCUGGCAUUUAACAAUUAAUAACCUCUCUCCGC